CCUCCGAAUGUCAUCAUGACAAAACAUAAAAUAUCUCCUCACCAUUAAUGAGAGGAACAGUACUCCUGGCACUAUAUAUGAACCUUCACACGAAGAAGAAGGUAAUCUCCUGAUACCUAGUGAAAGGUCAACUGAUUUAUAUCUCCCUCUUUUAACCAUGGCUAACAAAACCAUCGGAGGGUGCGUCCGGACAUCCUUUCCGGAUGUCUUUUGCAGGUAUAACGACUAAAUCAAGAACCUUUGAGGGUUGAGAUCGCGUGUCCAUCCAUUCAGCAAUUGCGUGGAUCGCCAGGGACUCGAGGCAUCAACACCUAUUAUUUAAUCACUUAAACUUUUACAAUUUCUUACGUCUUCAAGUAUUUUCCUUAUAAAAAAUAAAUACUUAAUAUUUUUUAAAAUUUUUUAUUUUAUUUUAUAAUAUAUCACCAACAAAAAAGUAAUAAUAAUAAUAAUAAUAAUAAUAAAUGAUUAAUUAAAAAUUUUAGAAUCUAUUUGAAAACAUAACUUAUUCUCUUUAAAUAAAUUUUAAAAAUAAAGUAAAAUUGAAAAUAAUUUUUAAAAAAUAAAUAAAAAUUAUUUUCAAAUAUUUUUUAAAAUAAAAGAAAAACAUGAACCCUUAUAGUCAUGUUUUUCAAAAUUUAUUUUUAAGUUAAAAAAAUAGUUUUUAAAAAUAAGUUUUAGACUGGUCAUAUAAUUUUAAAAAUUUAAAAAUAUUAAAUUUAAAUAUUAUGUAAAAAAAAAAAAUCCCUUUACCUUUAUUUUCCUUAGGGUGGUAAGAAAGGAAAGAGCCAAGUCAACUCCACCAAGACAAUAGUGGAAAGAUUUCAAAAAAAUUUAGAGAGAGAAAUUGUUUCAUCAUAUCUUUUUAUUAACUUAUUAACAAAAAAAUGAGCCGUUGGUGGAGUGACAACUAAUUGAAUUAUAAUAAUGAUUAUAAGUAUAAUAAUAAAAACUAUAUGAAACUAAAUACAUAUUCAAAAGCCUAAAGCCCUCAAAGCGGCAAGCAAACGCGGAACAUUUCUCGAAACUACGUCGUUUCAGUCCUCCUUUGCUGCUCAUCUCGAAAAUUCCUUGAGUCAUUUUUGGCGAUCCCAAUGCUCCCUGUGUACAGUCGUUCAGGUGGUGAUGGAUUGUUUUUUUUUAAAAAAAAUUUGGAGUAAUUUUUUAUUAAUUUAUGGUUUUUUAAGGAAAGGGCAUUGGUUUUUUUUUUCAUUUUUAUUAGAUCUGUUGUUAGAUUGUUGACGCUUGUGUCGGAUUCUCUGCGAUUGAGAUCUGUUUCUUUUCCUCUACAGAAUUCAGUUCAUAUGAGAAUUUUGGGUUUUCGGAGGUGGGUAAUCUUUGAAUUGUUGAUUUAUGUUGUGUUUGGGUACUGGGAAAAUUGAGGGAAGAAAGGAAAGGAAAAGGAAAGAAAAAGAAAAGAAUUAUUUUUUAAAUUUCUUUUUGUUUGGUGGUGUUGGGGUUGUCGAUUCAAUUCGGGAGAUUCGUUGGGGAAAGGAUAUGGGUGUGUUGUGUUCCAAGUCGAGAAAGAAUAUGAUGGGUUUGGAGACUGAAUUGAUUUUCUUUUUGUUUUUCUUGCAUUUCGCAGAAGCCAAUCACACCUAAAAUGAAUGUCUGUAAUGGAAGUAAAGUGGUCAAUUUGAGUCAUUUUACCAUCAAUCUUGGUGAAACAGUGUUUCUUGUGAACAAAGGGUGAAUUUGCUUGCAUUGAAAAAUACCCAUUUGAAAUCCCCUGAAUUGGGUGUGGAUCUGAGCUUCAUUCAUAAGCUACAUACUUGUAUUUUCUCGGGAAAUGUUUUCUUUAUUGCUUGUGUAAGCAGAUUCAAAAGUCUUUAGCUUCAAUGACAUACCAAAUGCAUUUUAUAUUAUGUGGAGAACAUGCCCAUUUCUGUAUAUUAGAAUGUUAUAUAUUUAGAAUGUCUUUUUGGUAAUAUUCAAAUAUACCCUUUACAUAUAUGCAUUUGAAUUUUAGCAGUAUUUUCCUUCAUUCAAAGAGUAGAUACUUUUGUGUGUGUGUGUGUGUGUGUGUGUAAAGGAUAUCCGUUACAUGUAUGCUUGAAUGCCCAUUUCAAUGUACUGAAUUUGACCUGGAUUAGAGCUUAAUUUGCAAACAAGGAACUUCUAGUUUUUGGGUUAUUUUUAUGGAGUAUAUUAUAUAUCAUACAUGUUGGAAUUACGAAAUAAAGGCUGAGUCCUUUGUCUUGUUUGGUGUAGGUGGAGGUGUUUCUCAUUCUUUUACCUGCUCUGGUUCAGCAGUAGUAUGAAUUGAUGUACGAUGCAGAGAUCACGUAGAGCUCUUCUGCAACGAAGAGCUUUAGAGAAAGCUAUCAUCGGCCGGAGUCGGUUGUAUAAGGUUUCAUUGUCUUUGGUCUUUGUGUUGUGGGGCCUUGUCUUUCUUUUGAGCUUAUGGAUCAGUCAUGGUGAUGGAUACCAAGGUGAGUCUCCAUUUGAAUUUCCUUUGUGUUAAUAUUGAAUUCUGGAAAAUUGUUUGAAUAUAUAUACCAAUUGAACCCAAGCUUCUCUUUUCUUAUAAGGUUAUAUUGGAUGAUUUAUAUAGAUUUAUACGUUUUGAGUUUCUAUGCUGCUUCUAAGUUGUAACAGUAUUUAGGCAAUCAAAUUCAAUGCCUCUGCUUAGCAUUUUCACAUAUAAGAUUAUUGUUACAUCUCUCACAUUGAUCAUCACUAUGUUGUAGACAAGUUUGAUCAGUUCAUCAAAUUCAUAAAACCAGUCAAUACUGUGUUUGGAUCAGUUUGAUAGUGAAUAGAAGUACUGCUUGAGUGAUUGCUUCUCAAUUAUGUGGACUAGUUGUUGUGAUUCACCAAUCAGGCUUAACUAUUCUGUAGGCAUGAUUAUGAGAAGAGCUUAACUGUUUCUGAGAAAUAGGAUUCAAAUUUCAAACAGACCUAAAUAUUGCUCCCAGAUGCCACACAUAGUAGAAGAUUGGAUCUAAAGUAGUUUUUUCUGUCAGCUGACAUGCUUGAACUAACACAAGUACUCUGUGUUUCGAGAACUUUACAUCUUCUGUCUUAUUUUUCCAUGAAGCUACUGAGCCUGGCUCAAGUGGCAAGACAUUGGAGGGGGGAUGUGGAGCUUCCAUGUACCAAAAACAAAAAAGGAAAGAGCAAGUAUCUGGUCCCCCCCCCCCCCCCCCAAAAAAAAAGAACAUACUCCAUGACACAUAAAAUUGGUCUUGCUUUGGAAUUCACCAUGUGUACAUAUCUUCUCUCACUAGCUACUCUAUAUCUUUUCUUUGGAUUUAAGUGAAUCUUUGGGCGUUUCUAGAAUGCACCAUUUUUAAAUUUUAGUCUUAUUUUAGGAAGACAAUAUCUUAAUUUUUAAGAAUUUAAUAUCUGUAUGCAUUCUUUUCUUACUAGCCACUCUCUGCUCUUUGCAUGGUUUUAGAUGGAUCUGGCAUGCCUCUCAUUGGCAUAUCAACUUGGGAUGAAGCAAAGCAGGGCCUUAAUCUAGGUUCUUGUUCUGUUGAUGAACAUUCUUUGAUAGAAACCAAUUCUGACAAUUCUUAUGAAGGUUCCAGAAAUGAUGCUGAAACUAAGGAUUUCACCAAUGAAUUACAUAGCAAAGGAAAUGUAAAAUCUACCUUGCCUGUUGAGGAGGGAUCUGAGGUGGAGAAAUCCAGUUCAGAUGUAAAAUCCGAAAAGGAUACCCCAAAGAAUGACAGGUUAUCCCGUGCUGUGCCACCGGGCCUUGAUGAAUUCAAGAGCAAGGCAAUUAGUUAUAAAAGUAAAUCUGUAACUGGUCAGGCUGGAAACGUCAUACAUAGAGUAGAGCCUGGGGGUGCAGAUUACAAUUAUGCUUCAGCUUCAAAGGGAGCGAAGGUCUUGGCUUCUAACAAGGAAGCAAAGGGUGCUUCAAAUAUUUUAGGCAAAGACAAGGACAAGUACCUUAGAAAUCCCUGUUCUGCUGAAGAGAAAUUUGUCGUUAUUGAACUUUCAGAAGAAACCUUGGUGGAUACUAUUGAAAUUGCAAAUUUUGAGCAUUACUCUUCUAAUCCAAAAGAUUUUGAGUUGCUGGGCAGUUCGGUUUUUCCAACAGAUGAGUGGGUCAAGCUUGGGAAUUUUACUGCUGCAAAUGUGAAGCAUGCUCAGAGGUUUGCUCUUCACGAGCCAAAAUGGGUGAGAUAUCUAAAGUUAAAUCUACUGAGCCAUCAUGGUACAGAAUUCUAUUGCACACUGAGUGUUGUGGAAGUAUAUGGAGUGGAUGCUGUUGAGCGAAUGCUGGAGGAUUUGAUCUCUGUUCAAGAUAAUCCAUUUGUACCUGAGGAAAUUACUGCUGAGAAAAAGUCAAUUCCCUCCCAGCCGGAGCCCACUGAGGGUAAUAAUCUGUAUCAGAAACCUGUUAGUGAAACAGAAUCUGACCCUCUACUUGACAAACCUGAAGCUAUUAAAAGUAACAUGCCAGAUCCAGUUGAAGAAAUUCGUCAUCAACAGGUUGGAAGGAUGCCUGGGGACACUGUUCUUAAGAUACUGAUGCAAAAAGUUCAAUCACUUGAUUUAAGUUUGUCUGUUUUGGAGCGAUACCUGGAGGAUUUGAACUCCAGAUAUGGUAACAUUUUCAAAGAAUUUGACAAAGAAAUUGAGGAGAAAGAUGUUCUUCUGGAGAAUAUAAGAUCAGACAUAAGGAACUUCCUUGAUAGCAAGGAGAUUAUUGUAUGUAACUCACUACCUUUUCAUUUUUAAUUGCUUUAUUUCUUUAUGAUGGUUGAUUUUUAACUCCUACAAUGUCUCAUGCUCUUGCAGACCAAAGAUGUCAGUGAUCUUAUUUCAUGGAAAUCCCUUGUUUCCCUACAGUUGGAUAAUCUACUCAAGGACAAUGCUCUUCUCAGGUCGGUUUCCUUCCCUCACCAUAUACAUCUCAUCAUUUACUCUAUUAUAUUUUAUAAUAUGAGUUUGCCUGAUGACCUUACAGCUUUUUAUUUUUAUUUUUAUUUUUUACUUUUUUGGGGGGGUUAAUUUCUUGGAUAAGAAAAUUUAUAAGCCUCUUAUCUGAAUAACUUUCUUUAUAUUUUACUUUAUAAUUAUAAGUGAUUUUUGCUACCAUGUGGGUGUUUUGGCCCUGGAAAUUUUCAUUACAUAGAAGUGCAUAAUUUUCAAAAUUAGGCAAAAUGAUCUUUUUUUUGCUAGUCUUUCUUCUGUUGGGGUUGUCUCCUAUGGAGCUUUAAAUUCUAAUUUUUCUAUAAAAUUUCUUACCUAGGGUUGAUGCCCAAGAGAGACUUUUUAGUGCCAAGUUUCUAAUCAUGCUCCAAAGAAAUGAUGUAACUUAACCAAUGAACUUCAACAGCGUAAAACGCUCCUUUAAAUGAAGUUAUAUUAAGCCUCAUAUCCUAAUGCCUAAGCACAUGGGAUAAAGGUUGACUCACCUCUAGAUGUGCAGUGCUUGGAUAUUUUUUUAGGGAUAAAACCAGCUUGAAUGAUCCUCUGAUAUAUGUCAAUAUGCUCAAAGAUAUCAUAUUUUGGUUUGGGGGAAAUGCCACCCUAAAAAUAAAUAAAUGACAAAGUCUAAAACCGUGUAGUUGAUCUAUUCUUAUUUCAAAAUAUGCAUGUAUCCUAUCAAGUUAAUCAAAAAUGGAUACCCUAGUUUCUACUAAAGAAUGGCUUUAAAACUCGAAAACCCCCACUACUUAACAAGGCUCUUACACUUAGUCCCAUUGAAUUUGAAAUUUAAAAGAUGUUGAGAGGCAUGAAGUGAAACAUUCCAAUUAAAAGAGGUUUGAACUUAAAUUUGUCUUUAGUUUUUGCAUAUAAAAUAAGAGAAGCCCAGGCUUUUGAGGAUAUAAUGCUGUGUUCAAUAAAACGCUUGUCUCAAAAUCAUUAGAGAGACAAAGAGGAGAAAUUCUUUAGGUGUUGAACUGCUUCCCUUACUAUUUCUUCUGUAAAUAUACGUUGGUACUAUUAUUGCUUAAUCAAUGAUUUGUAAGCCUAUGUUUGAUUCCUAGAAAGUUUGAAGGAAAGAAAAAGGUAAGGAAAAAAUUAUAAAAUUCGUAUCUUAUUUGAUUGUGAAUGGAAAUUUGAAGAAAAGAAAACUAUAUAUAUGAAAAAUGUGCUUUCUCUAGACCUCCCUCACCUUCUUCCAAGGCAAAUCAUUUUAACAUUUUCCCUUCUCGCUUCCUUAACACUUUCCCUGAACCAAACAUAGCCUAAUGACUUCCUGAUUUUCUCAAAUUGUCACUUAUUGUUAGGUGUCGGGUUUGUGGGUGUUUUUGCGUGCUAAUUGUUGGAAUUAACUUGCAGAGCGGAGGUCCAAAAGGUUCAGGAGGACCAGACACACAUGGAGAAUAAGGGUAUUGCAGUGUUUCUUAUAUGCCUAAUUUUCGGAUUCUGGGCUUUUGCGAGGCUAUUGGUAGAUAUGAUGUUGAGUGUUUACAUGGCGGUGAGUGUUAAUAAUAGAUCAGAUAAAUCCAGGAAUUUUUGUGGGACGAGCUCUUCCUGGGUAUUCCUGCUAUUGAGCUGUAGCAUUAUUAUUGUGAUCCUGUCAUUAUAAUUAUGGUAAUAUAUUUAUAUAUCUAUAUAUCAAUUUUCCUCAGCCUUAUUUAUAAAAUUAUAUGUGACAAUGAUUUGGGAUCAUGGAUUCAUCAUACAUUAAGAAACUAUCAGAUCAUGGGUUGAAUCAAAAGAUCGUAUGGGUACCUUGAAUAAUGAUCAUAUUUUUCUGAUAAUUAUGCCAUAGUUUGGGCUUUGGGGUGGGUUUGGAGUCUCUCUUUGAGCGUGAUUUUGGAUGAAAGGUUUUAAUGUUUCAUCGCUUUUAUUUACAUGUAUUUUCUUUGGAAAUGCUUUUAAGGUGGAUGGAUUAAUGUCUAGAUAUGAACUAAGAGCCCGUUCGGCUGUGAUUCUAGAAAGUAUUUAUAACCUUUCUAACAUUUUAAAAAAAAAAUUGUCAUUAAAGAAUUAGAGUCCAUUUGACAAUGAUUCUAAGAAAUGCUUUUAAACUUAAUACUUGAAAAAUUUUAUCUUUAAUGUAUUAAAAAAGUUAGAAACACUUCUUAAAAUUACUAUCAAACCUAUAUUUUGAAAGCUUAAAAAUGUUUAUUAAAAUCAUUGUCAAAUAUACUUUAAGAGUACAUUUGACAGUGAUUCUAAAAAGUGUUUUUAAACUAAAAUAUAUUUUUUAUUUUUAAAUGUUCGGUAAAAUUUAGAAAAUACUUUUAAAAAUUGUAAAAAUUAUUUGUAGUGUUAAAAAUCAUAUUUUAUAAAGAAAUAUCUAAUAGGUGAUUUUUAUUAAAAACACUUUUAGAUAAAAUAUUUUAAAUAAAAAUAUUGUUAAACACAUUCUAAAAAAAAUUUAAUUUUAUUUAUAUUCCUGGUGUUUAACGGGAUACAUUAACCCACUGGUGGCUUUAAAUCUAUUCCGUUAGUACCUUAAUAGAUAUUUUGUUUAUAAAAUUUAUUUUUGAUAUAAAAACAUUUUGGUUAUUAAACACAUUUACCAAAAAAAAUUUAAAAAUAAAUUUUUAUUUUUAAAAUGAAAUAUUUAUAAGAAUGUUAAUUAAUGAAAUUUGAAGCAAAUUGUCUUAUACUAAACCCCAUGAAAUUAACUCAAGUAAAAAAAUGUUUUGAUUUUUUAAAAACAUAAAUAUACAAUAAAAAUGUGAUUUUUUCUAAUUUUUUUAUAUUGAUUUUCAAAAAUUUAUCAUACCAAUAAUUCACCAUACUAGUUUUUACAAAAAUGAAAAUAUAAUCACAUGUUAUAAAACAUUUUAACCUCUUUUAAAUCAUUCCCAUUAUGAAAUAUUUUCAACCUCCUUCAAAAUCAUUCCAAGUUCUUCGAGGACAAUGCUGCAAAAUAUGUGCAGAAAAAAAGACCUGACUUCUCUCAUUUGUAUAAAUAUUGAUAGUAUUAUUUUCUUCAAUAUUUUUAUAAUAUUCAACAUUUUCUCCAUUUGUUUCAUCUUCCGCCUGUUCUGUUUGAACACUGAUCAAUAGAAAAAGGAAACUCUGAAUAUACCAACCACUCCAUGGCAUGAAACAAACGGCUAUAAAGCUUGGAUUCUAAUAAAACGAGCGGUCAGAAAAUAAAUGAGAUUAUCAUCAUCACACUAAGAAUCUGAACCCCCAAAGGGUAACAACCAUUAAGUAAUUGGUUUCUGAGUACCAAAACAAGGGACUUUUAAGUGAUAAUAUGGGUGUGUCCCGCCUUCAAAGAGGCCAUAAUCCAAAUGUUACAGAUCCAUCAAAGAUGGAAAAGUGUACAUGAAAUGAGAAUGGAAUACAUGCAAAUUACAUCUCUAGCUUCCAAAAAUGAGUGAAACCCCAAAAUAGAAAAGAAAACCUCCAAAAGAAAAAUAUUGAAUAGAGGAAUAUAAUGAUAAAUGGAUUUCAAGUAUGCCUUGAAUCCAAUGUGGGCACGUCGUAAAAAAAACUGAUAUUAUGGGACUGUAGCCUUUCUAUGUACACAAGCACCCUGUUUUACUCUCUGUAGAUUCUGCAAUAGAAUCUGAGCUUUGGCCAAAUGGUGGGAUCAUGAAGUGCAAAGAGCAGAUCUUUGGCCACAAGGAAUGUGUUGAAUAUAUGAAUGGUCAAUUUGAUCGGUCCGACAUCUAAAAAAAUUUGUAACCUGAGGAACCUGACGGGGGUGGUGCUGGCGGCCGCCGGUUGGGAGUACGGCGGCUGGAGUUUGAGCCGGAGCUGACAUCACCAUUCUGUGCUGGGUCACUGUAAUGCCGACUGUGACCAUUAGAACCAGACCGAGACAAAUCAGAGUUGUAGUCAACAGGUCCAUUGGCUGCAGCAUCAAAUGCUGAUCUCCAGUCAUCACCACCGGAUGGACCACUGGUUUUUGGGCUGCUUUCUGCAAAUGAAGUAAAAACCAAAUUUUUCAGAAUUUCAAAUAGGGGGAUUCCAUGGACCACAGUGAAAUGGAGAGUUUGUAAAAUGAAAAAGGAAAAGACACAGAAAUUUGAAAAGCAUAAUGAGAAAGGGAAAAAAUGAAAUUUUUAACAUAAUUGUACUAACUUGAAAAUGAUAGCUAGAUUUGCUUCCCUAAUAUUAGUUGUAAGAGUAAAAAGAAAUGACUAAGUUCGAACAGAUCAAGAUAUCCUAGGUCCAAUAGCUACAAUCAUGAUUAGAUGUUCAAGCCAAACCCUAUCUUCCUAUUAAAUGGACCUAAAGUUCCUAGCAAAAACCGUCCUCAUUGAACUCAUCAGCAUCCAAAAACACAAAAAGAUACCAUUCAUUUUACAAAAUUCAUUUUUUUCUAGAAUUGAGAAUAAAGUUCUUCAAGCCAAGAGACUUGUUUGAUUAUGUUUUCCAAAAAGAGUUUCUCUGUAUAUGUUUCCAAAAGCAGUAAGAGCGAGCAUUAAUUCAUUGAUCCCUGUGUGUUCUGAUCUAUUCUGAAAUCAGCCACAUUUGUAUACAAGUUUUAUCAAACCGAAGACAAAAAAAAGUCAGUGUUUUCUUCCUUGUCCUAAUAAUGGUUUGAAAUUCUUGGACUUGAUGCAGAAAUUAGCAAAGAGAGAGCUAGGAAUUUGUGUUUAAAAAGAGGCAAUGGAGGCAUAAACUUCAUAUACUUCCCAUUUCAUACCUGCUCCACCAACACCAUUUGACCAGCUAGAGGCAGCAGUUGCCCGAUUGUCAUGAAUGCUGAGUUGGCGAGUUAGUUUUGAAAGGAGGGAGGACUGCUUCUGGUAGCGCUCCCUCCUACGCUUUACAUUCUGAUCCUCUAGAAGGAGCUCUUCGAUCCUUGCUGUGCUUUGUGCGCUGUCCAGACAAACAGAAAGGAGACAUGAUAUAUUUCCUAGGACAGUUAUAAUAAAGAACUUCAUUUGAUCAAUCAUUGCAUACACAAAGAGAAUUCAUGCCAUUGGCAUAGAAGGGAGAGCAGAAAAAACGACUCUCAGGCCUGCUAGUGCAUGGUACUGACUAGGAUCAAAUUCCGCCUUUACAUUAUACAAAUAAAAAGUAAAGGAUGAGUUUGUGUAUGGGUUGUUUAUUUAUAUGGGAAUAUCUCUUUACCUGAUUGAGCUGUACAACUGAUUUAGCAUGUCUUCCUUAGCUUUCUCAACUUGGCAAAGAACAACUGCCUGCCAACCAAUCGAUCACAUAUUCAAGCAUUUGUAAGUGACCAGAUGUAAAGAUGCAAAAAUGAGAAUUCAGGGACAAGUGCUUACUUUAGGGACAUUAGCAGCCAGACUGUUUAAAACCGCUUCAACAUAGCCACGCACUUCUUGAGACAUCCAUCGAAGUUCUUCUUCUGGGUCGGCAGGUCUUCGGACCAUUGUAUCCUGAAAAGCAAUUUCAGAUCAACAAUCAUACAAGGAACCAUAAUAUAGGGGAACUAAAUUGCUUAUUUAAGGCAUAAUUUUAAAAAAAAAUGUCAAUAGGAGCUUCAAUGUCCAAAAGAUAAACAGCAGUCCCAAACUAAAGAAAUUUCAAAAGUUAAUCUACCAAUAACUAGAAUCGCAUCAGGCACAAAUGUCAUUAAAUUUUCAAGAGAUUUUAGCAUUUAAACACAAUUCACAAAGCCGAAGCAUAUACACUACAAGAGACAGCAGGCAGAAGGCACGAGUGAAAAACUCACCAGGGAACCAUCAGAAAGACUUUGCCUCAUGGUAAGACCACCUUCAGUGGAUGCCCCUUUCAUUUGACCCCCUUUGGAAGGUUGAAUAACACUGCUUAUCUUGUUUACCCAUUCAACUUUAUCUGCCAUACUCUCUGCCUUAAGCACCACAGCACUGUGGGCUGCAAGAUUAAUUAAAAAUUUGUUUUAUUUAAAAUUGUAAGUCAAAACAAAAACCAGAGGACUAUCCACCUAAGUAGAGCACAAUGAACUAGGACAAGAACAAACCUUUCAAAACUGUUUUAUAUGGAACCUUGCUCGUUAUCUUGAAAACAAGACUGGUGUUCUUUCCUGAAUCAGGCCCAUUGGCCUUCUUAUCCUUCGAACUUUUUCGGGGAGGUUCUUCCUCAUCUGAAACCUCCUCUACGUUACAUUCCUGCACGGCACAUAAAUGAAAUGAGGCAUGUUCAAUAACUUGCACAGAAAUCCAAAAUUUUAAUAAUAAUCCACUCUAUAGCAAGAAUGCAUUUUUAUGGUCAUAAUAUAAUUAUUCUUAUCAAAACAUGGUAGUCACAAAGGCAAUGUAAAAUAAAUCAAAAUUAUUUAAAACACUCCUUUCUUACUGAAAACAAAAUCCACCAUACAGUGUAUCACAAUUGGUUUUCCAUCCAUGCCUAGUGUUUGGAUAAGGAAGGUUAUGACCCAAUUUUCAAAAACGUUUAGAAGACUAUUUGCCUGUUUAAAAUAGGGACAAGUCUCAAAUUUGUGCACGUAGAUAAAUAUAAAGGAAAAGGUUCUCCGGUAUCUAGUAAACUUUUCAAGGAACCAACCUGGUUCCAUGGUUCAUAACCUUUCAAGGUUCCAGCUUGGUGCCAUGGCUCAUAACUAAUUUUAGUAUAAAAAUAAAUUUUAGUAUGGUAAGAUGUAUAGGAAUAAAGGAAAGUGGUUGAGGUGGGGAUGUGAGAGGUUCUAGGUUAAAGUCCCAACAUAGGCCAAAGCAAACCUUUAAAAAAGGGAAAAACCAAAAUGAAAACAAACAAACAAUAUAUAUAUGUGUGUGUGUGUGUGUGUGUGUGUAAAUACAAUAAGAAAUUUAUCAAAAAAAUAUGUAUAUAAAUACAAUAAGAAACUAGAGAGUACCAAUAAUGACCCUAAUUUCCUUAACUAAUGGAACCACUAAAAUGAAAUUCAAAACGAUCCACCCACUGUUAGUUUCUUAGCUAUAAGAAAUACUUUAUGAAAGGAUUUCUCAUAGCAAUGUACCACUUUUUAUGACAUAGUGUGAUGAUGAAAGAAGAAUGCAAGAAAAAGAGGCAAACAGUCUUGUCACUCAUUUUGCACAAAAAGCAAAUAUCCAGAGAGAGAGGUUUCCUUUCUCUUGAAUCUCAAAGCAUUGAAUUGAUGUUCACCUCAUCGUGAGCUCUCAACCAAAUCAAAACACUUGAGGAAGAAACUUUUCCUUCAAAAUCAUUUUGGCAGGGAGCAAGCAGUUGUGCACACUUGAAUCAAGAAACUAUGAAAUGUAAACAACAAUUACACAAGAGUGCCACUAUUUUCAAGAAACAAACAGAGAUGACACAAAAAGUCCAAAAUGAUGGUCAACUCUUCAAGAAUAUUCAAGUAAGGUGAUUUCCGAAACUUUUCUAUCCUAGAUACUACUUUAAAAAAUGAAAUUUCCAAAGAGCAAUCAAGAAAAAAGCUGUAGAAAACAUUCACUUGUUAUAAUUCAAAAAAAAAUGGAGUUGGCCUACAUGCACACUCAGAUAUAUUAGCCUCCAAUAUAAACCCAACUUUGCUUUCAAUAUUUACAAUGGUUAAAAUUUUGGCCACAACAGGACAAAAAAUUCUGGUUAUUGGUAUUUAUUGCAAUCCAUACCUCUAAAGUGAUGACACCACGGAAAUGCCUUUCCUCUUGCUUUUUGGUGUAACCAAGCUGUGAAACAAAAAGACAACCAUAUUGAUGAAAUACGGCACUCUGUCAUUUUAAAAUUCAAUGAUACAUUUGAUGGAGACAAAAAUGGUGCAAAGAACCAAUGAAAGAAUACAAAAAGGGCACAUCCAGUGAUGAACUGAUACUUUACUAACCUUGCCAGUCUUUUCAUUUAAAACAAACCAUCGCCUGCUCCAUCCAUUAGUUUUUUCACUUUUCUUCAAUAGAAAGCCUGUAUAUGUAUAAAGUAAAAGGUUGGAGAGAGAGAGAGAGAGAGAGAGAGAGAGAGAGAGAUGUUGAUACAAGAGAAGAUGCACAAUACAUGCCAUUAUACAUGUAAGGGUGACUUCAGAUAUCCUUGGAAGCUUGAUAACGUGAUAUAACAGAUUCAAGAAUUGGCUAGAAGUUCAUACACACAGAUUGUAAAUUAUCAAAACAGAUUCUAUUUUAUAUUAUAUUCCUUAGAAAUAUAUAGUUGUACCAGUAAGCAUCAAGUUCUGCACAUGCCUGUACAGAUACGACAACCACAACAAAUAUCAAAAAGGUAUCCAUGUGCUCAAGGCAUCACCUGCCCUUCACACAAUAAAUUCUUGUGCCAAGUGCAUUUAGUCACAAGGAAGACACUACACACAGGAGACACUCUAUAACUUAUGAAAAAUGAAAUGGGUAAGAGAACUUGACAAAGGCACAGCCCACACAGAUCAUUUCAGUUGACAAACAAAUAAGGAAAUACCAAUCAAAGAAAACUUAAACAUGACCAAAAAGGAAAGGUAUAGAAAUGACUUAGAACCUCUGUAACUAGAAAAUUUUUCCUCAAAAGCUGAAGCUACCAUAUAGAAACAUACUACCAUUUAAGGAAAUGUUACAUCCCCAAAUGUUAUUGCUUUUUGGGAUCUUUGAUGCUAUAAAAAUUAACACAAUCCUAAGAGGGGUCUAGCCAUUAUAUAGGGAAACACACACACCCCACAAAACACUGAACUGAGGAUCCUCAAAAGGAGAGACAAAAGCAACUCACUAUCAGUAAAAUUACUAGCCUAAUACUGAGCUGUACAGAAGCAUACCUGCUGUGAUCUCACCACCAGGACCAGCUAUCUUCAAAGCUGAGCCCUCUUGUGUUUCUUUUUCUGACUGACCAGAUUUAUCCUUCAUUGAUUUCAAACUUCCUCCGGAUUGCUGACCACCAGUUUGAGGACUAGUUGCCUAAGUAUAAGGGCAUAGUAGACAGUAAGAAUGGGAUUCUUUUUGACAAAUGAUUGGAAAGGAACUAAGAGAAAGGAGGCAUUAACUCCAUCAAACUACAAUGAUUUAUACAAAGAAAAGAACUGCAUCAUAACAAGAUGACCACUCAUGCAACUUUGGUAACUCAGCAAUAUUUUUAAAAUAAUUCUUACUCAUAUUUGGAUUAGAGAAAAAUAUUAUACCCUAUUCAAAAUCGAUUGCUCUGCCUCAUGUCCUUUUUUUGAGGAUCGGUUCUUCAGCUCUUCUUCCCGUCGCUGUCUCUCCAUCCUAAUAUAAAUUAAGCACAUAAAUCAAAUAGAUAAACCGUAGGCAAACAUAAGCCACUCAAUAUAUUGAGAUCACUGGCAUUAUAGCAUACAUGUAAACAGCAGCAUAUGACAAUGGCAAACCAGGAAGAGAUGGCGAGAUGGAGAGAGAGAGAGAGAGAUGAAUAAAUCCAUCAAACAAGGUAUUUUUAAUUCCUAAACAUGAGGUGAAAAAUCCAUCAAAUAGGAUGUAUUAAAUUUGUAAACAUGAAAUGGCUACUCUAUGAUUUUUAAGUUCGACAGUCUAAAACAUAGAUAUGGCCUAAGAAUGUUUUUUUUUGAGUUUACUGAAACAGUAACAAUAAUAGCUCAAAAGUUUCUACUUAUUGACAAUGGAUCCAAAAAUAUAGGCUUAUAUCAUAUUCCCAGUACCUUCUUUGCACCAAACGAAUGAAGUGUUGAGGGGGCACAAAAGCUCGCUCCAUAUCCACUAGGGCAACCACCAUUUUCUUAGCUUCAUUCUUGAACACAUCUAGUGCAGCAGUUGCAAUUGCCACAACCUAAUAAAAAUAAAAAAUAAAAAAUAAAAAAAUAAAAUAAAAAAUCGAAUAGAUUUUUUAGGUAUGAAGGAUUAAAAUUACGCACAAUCCUGAAUAUAUAAAUAAAUACUGCCAGCACAAGAACAGGUGCGCAAUCAAAGAAAAUAUACCUCUCUCUUGAAAGGAGGAUAUCUCCCCAGACCUGGCGUAGCAUUUGCAGCAGCAGAAACUACAUCUACCAGGACACGGUGCACCUAUGUUUCAUAGUCAUCAGUAUGCAACAAACACAGUAGGUGGUUAAAGAAUUCCAUUCAAUGGGCCACAUAGACAUCAAAUAACAAAGGGAAAAUUCAAGUAUUAGGCAAAGGUUUGAGUAUCAUUAAAAGUAUGUAUAGGGUUUCCUAUUUGGAAAUACAUACGACGAUAAAAAAGGUGGUGGCAAAAUAAAGAAUGAAAGAUUCAUUGGUAAAACUGCAGAGAGAAAUGCUAGUAUCUUUGAGGAUAGAUGGAGGUCCAUGGAGGCUACUUGAAAUAAUUUACUCCUCGUCCUCCUUUUGAGCAUCUGUCACUUAUCCUUUUGCAAGUACUUCUUUGAACUUUCUAUUGCUAGAUAGGAAAAAUGUUUGCUCCUCCAAGAGAUCACCUGGGAAGACUAUGUAUGAUUGGUUACCUCCAUUAAGUUAAAUUUUAAAGGUCAUUCUUUAGGUAAUCCUAAACAAUUAGGAACACAAGCUAUGGUGCAGUACAAAGGGCUUAUCUAAACCUGCUGUACUGGGUUUAGCUACCAAAGGCAAAGAUACUAACAUUACUAGGGGGCUUACAGGGUAAAUAUUUGUGUCAAUCCAACCUCAAUUUAGAAAGAGAUUUUUCUGUUGUUAUUUCUUAGGCCGCCUGUUAGAAGAGAGGCUCAUAGAAGUUCAAUGACUGUUUUCACAAAAUGGAAUGCUCUUAUCUUGGGUUCCUUUGCUCAGCUAAUCAAGCUAGAACAAUUACCCAAACAAGGAGCAAACCAGUUAGUUUAUUCUAUUGGAGGCUUCUUUCCUCCCUAAUUGCAUAGAGCAUUUGUAAUGUGCGCAUAUUCUUUUUCUGCUUAUAGUUUGUGCAUACAUUUCUAUUCUCUGAUUCGCUUGCACAUUCCAGAAGGUUUAUACAUCCAACUUUUAUUUUCCAUUCAAUGUAAUGAAUAUGUUUGUUUUCAAUUAAAAAAAAAAAAAAAAAAAGUUGUCAAAUUACCCCUCCAGAAUGGCUAUAGUUUUUCUAGAACAAAGAGGGUUGUGGCAGUAUCAUCAAGUUAUCAGGGGUGAAAUUUGAAUUAUGGUAUCAAAGAGGAGCAUGAAGACUGAACAUUUACACAAAGAAGGCAGAAGCAGCAAAGCAUCUGAAAUAUCGAAAGCAACUCCGCAAGGCUAUUCAAAUCCAUUCUUCAAAAGAAGGGGAAACUCAGAAGUUAUGAAUAAUUAUCCUUACCUCAUCAACACAAAGCCGUGAUGGCUCUUUUGCAAGCUCCAAGACACCUUUUAUUAACGAUCUCAAACCUUUCUCAGGAGAUAUAAGAUAUGGUUGAUAACCAUCAGCUUCUAACACAAUCUGUGACCAAAUGGGGGAAAAUCACUCAAAGUAAUUAGACCUCAAAAAUAAUCCAAAAUAUAGUAUAAAAUUGAGACCGAACAACACAAUGGUAGAUACCCUUUUGACAUUGUUGAUGUCAAAAUGCCUGUCUAAAGGGAGCUGCUUGAUCCUGUUAGGAAAAUUCCCCUCAAAACUGGCAACGACCUUCCAACCAGCACCCUGCCACGUAAAUGUAACAUAUAAAAUUUAAGAACGAAUAAUCAUAGCACUAAAUAUUGCUAUAACUAUAAGCACAGGAUAGGAAAGAAUUAUGAUAUUGAAUUCCAUUGCACGGUUUAUCAUACUAUGAGAAUGAUAGGACAGUGGCGUGCUAUGAAUGCCAUUGAGCAGUUUAUAAUACUGUGAGAAUGAUUCAAAUUCCCACCAUGACUAAUUCAAUUUCUCAUAAUCCUAGAAACUCAAGGUCAGAAAUUUUCUAGUCAGGCAGAGUUACAAAAAAGAGGCUAACCUGCUCAUCUGCCUCCCUCUUUUUUUCAAUCUCAUUCUUAUUAAAACAGGUUAUCAAAAAAAAAAAAAAAAAAAAAACACAAAAACACUUUUUUGACAUCCAUCUGAGAAAUCCCAAAAUAUGUGAUAUAAACAUGGCAGCUCAAAACCAUAUUCCAUGCAAAAACAGAAGAAAAGAGAUAUAUGCUUUCAUAGUUACAACAAUGCUACCACUCUUUUUCACAUACAUCUGAGAAAUCCCAAAACAUGUGAUAUAAAAAUACAAUCUAUGCGCCACUACUCCUAAACUGUUCAUUCCUUCUCAAUUUUUGACUGAACGAUACUGAGAAAAUGGGGCAUUUGUUCUAACCAAGCAUUCCUUUGCAAUAGCAGAAUUCUCUGAAAACCACCUUCCUUCUUCUUCUUUUUUCUUUUUCUUUUUCUUUUCUUUUUUUUUUUUUUUCUGAUGGGCAAUUUUCUUAAUUUCAUACUCUGAAAACCAAAGAUCAUCUCAUCUAUACAUUUUCUAACCUCUUUCAUUUUAAUAUCCAUUAACAGAUUUGUAUGAGCAUUUUUGGCAGUAAGGAGGUAUAUUCUUCCCUAGUUUUGCAUAUAAAAAUAUUAGUAUUUGCAAGAGAAUGUGCACACAUUAAAAAAUUGACUCACCUCACCCCCUGCAAUGUGCAGGAGGAACUUAUCCUCAAAUUCACGGCAAAGUUCCAAAGCUAUAGCCCUAGUGCCUUCAGAACUAUGGACCAUUUGUUCACCAAGCCUUGCUAACUCAUCCCCAACUAUUUGGGACUUUCCUUGUAACCUACAGAAGGGUAAAGAAAUGGAGAUAUUAGGAACUCAAGGAGAAUAACUGCCAUAGUCCAGAGACGAAAAAUCUAUAUGUGUUCCUGAGCUGUGGUAUCAGAAGAAGUUUAUGACCAACUGAUUAGAAAUGAGGUAUCAUAUCAAAGUUGUAGUAGUACACUGAGAUAUGGAAUUGUUAACAAAUGAAAACCUAUCCGAUGCAAUGGGUCAAGUGGGAUGUGAGCAGCACUCUACAAUGCAAAUACUCACAGAACUUGAAUCAGAAAAUACUAUUGUACAAGAGAGGCAAAUAUGAUUACCAACCUACAGCUUCAGUAAGUUAGAAAAUUUGUUUUAUCAUUUUUACAUAUUUUAAAACACAAAAUCGCUUGGUGAACAUUGUCUUUGAAAAGAUGUCUAUGAAGAAAUUUUCAGUCACUUAUCUUACAUCCUAAAUCCAUUAUUUAAAAAUUGUUUUUUAAAAAAAUAAACUAUAUAGAGGCAAUGCUUUUAUCAUACAAAGUAACCAUAUUUCAGUAAGUUAGAAAAUUUGUUUUAUCAUUUUUACAUAUUUUAAAACACAAAAUCGCUUGCUGAACAUUGUCUUUGAAAAGAUGUCUAUGAAGAAAUUCUCAGUCACUUAUCUUACAUCCUAAAUCCAUUAUUUAAAAAUUGUUUUUUUAAAAAAUAAACUAUAUAGAGGCAAUGCUUUUAUCAUACAAAGUAACCAUAUUUCAGUAAAAAAAAAAUGACGGAAGCUCAAAAAAAAGGGACAUUACAUGAAAAGAAAAAAGAAGAGAACCAGUAGAAAAGACAAAAGAAAAAAAUAUAUAUUGAACAAUUUCUCGAAAACAUGUACCCAGAAAGGAGGUUUGGAAGUCGGACUUUCAUACGACUGCGUAUCUGCUGAGCCAGGGCAUCCACUAAAGCUAUUCUCCCAAGCUUACUUUGAGGGGCUCCCGUCAGUAUGGAUUUAAGACUCUCACUCUCAGCCCUCCAAGCAGUUUCUAACGAGUUCUCAGAACCAACAGAUCCAGACUGUGCAGAGGCAAUUGAAACAGAUUGCCCAAUUAAAGCAACCCAUGGCAUUUCAGAUGUACUUCUAGGACCCUGAUUUAACAGGAGAGCCUGAACAGCAGCAAGGAUUUUCUGGUCUGAUGCAGCUUGAUCUAUUUUACUAAUUACACCGAUUGUUCUUGUACCUACAUACAAAUAAAUUAAUUAAUUAGAUAAGAAAAAAAAAUGAAUAGAAAACUCAUUUUAAAAAAUAUUGAGAUUACCAUCUCCAUCAUAUUCCUUGGCAAUUUUGAGAGCUCGAGAUGAAGCAAUUUCGGGUGCCUGGGCAGCAGGUACAAUAACCAGCAAAAUGGCAUCAUUGUGCUGAGCAUAGUCACUCACCUAAAACAAGAGGACCAGCCAAAGCAUUAUUAACACUAUUAUUUAUGGCUUUGAGCAUACAAAUUUAGCAUCCAUCAUAUACAAUAAGUAGACUAGGUAAUCAUAUCACCAAGAAUACUAAAGAGAAAUCAAUAAGAUAAACUGAUAAACUGAUGCGAGACCACAUCCACUCCCAAAAGCUUAAGCUAAUGGGGGGUAGAGGUAGCCCCACACAUAAGGCCCAACCAAUACCGGUAAUUAACUAAUGUAGAACAUUGGACUUCCGUUUGUCCUACAUCAGACACCCUCACUCAAUUGUUGAAGCCCACAUCAGCAAGCACAAGGUGAGCUUGGCCAAACCUCACUUUAAUACCAAAUGAUAUGGGACCACAUACACUCCCAAAAGCUUAAGCUAAUGGGGGUAUUAGUCCCACAUAUAACGUCCAACCAACAUUGGUAAUCAACUGAUGUGAGACAUUAGACUUUUGUCCGUCUUACAUAAAUGCUCAGCCAUACAUAAAUCUCUAAAUUGUGAUGUGGAAUAGAACAAUAGCCACCACUUACCAAUGUCUCAUCCAUAAUCCGUUGAUCCAAUCCAGGCAAAUCAACCAGUUUCAGAGGAGGUGCUGUGAAUAAAUCGUGUUAGAUUAGAAAUUAAAGAACUAGACCAAAUGAACAAACUAAAAAUUAUAUGUAAAAAGCCAAUGAUCUCAAACUAAAGUUGAAGUUAACUUGUAAUCAUUUUUUUAAGAAAGAAAAUGCAAUCAACAAUAGACUGCCUACAUGUGCACAUUGCUAAAACUUUUUUCCAGUCUAUAUAAGGCAAGCAAUGCAAAGGACCAUAUCAGCAUUCAGGGCUUACCAGACAAUAAUUCUUGUUACUAAACUAUCUAGUUGUAGUUAUGUUACUCUAAUUGCACAUGCUUCCACAGAAGGUAACUCCAUAUACUUGCAUUUCCAAAUUUCAUGUAUAUCCCUAAGCUAAGUGAAUGCUAUUAAUGCAAUACUUACAAAAGUUUAUAUACAAUUCCAAUUUGAUAAUAAUGCAAUCUCUCAGAAAACUAAGCUAUAGAACCCACACAUCUAUCCAAUGAUUAAUAAGAAAAGACUCCAAACCAUCCAAUAUUACCAACCUGUACUUGUCCGUAGCUUCAAAUAUAUUUCAUCUCGGCUCUUGCCUGAGGCACCCUUACUCAGCCUGUCCUGGAGAGAAUGUCGAAGAGCACCUGUAAUAAGACAAACAGAGAAGUUAAAUAACAACCAUAACAAUCCAAUAAUGCAUUUUCAAGGUUCUUCAUAAAUCAAGAAUGCAUCCAAAUGGAAAGCUAAUUAUUAAACUCAACCAUGGUGCAAAUUCAGAAAUCUCCCCUCAUGCUACUGGCUAUAUGCCUGACCUUCUAUGUCAGUAUGCUUUUGCCUUCAAAUCUAACAGCCUUUAACACCUUAACUUCAUGCACUUAAACAUUCUUAUUGUCCCUAAUUUUUCAAACAAGCAGAAAAUAGUGUUAUAUUUUUAUCGCAUGGUCAACUUUUCUCAAAUCACUACAUAAGUGAUACCAAUAUCAUAAAGUUAACCUAAAGGAAAAUUGGAAAUAACUAUAAAUAAUAAUGGAAUUCAAUUCAAUGGGUUUCAUUAAGUUACACUUUGAUAGGUUUGCUCUAAGUAACCCCAGCCAGCUAGGAAUUUGAGGUGUGAUUUGGGAUCACCAUUAUAAAGUAUUGAAAGCCUUCUCUAAACCAGUUUGAGAGGGAUUGGCUGAGAUAGAGAUUUUAGCUCCUUUGGAGGGUUGUCACAAGCCAAGGUUUGGAAAUACAACAUGUGGCUUCUUUGAAUCCUAGAUCUACCUAGCACCUUUGGUUGUUCCUUCUCUUGGUCCCUAUGUUCAGUUAAUGAUAUUUCGGAUCAAUUAGACAGAACGUGGAGCCAACCAAAUGGUUCCUUUUGUAAGGGAUUUUUUACUCCUUUGAGUUGCAUAUUGUUGGCAUAUUAUGUACAGUUUCUAGUUUAAUCCUUGAUUUGUAUAGCUAUCUUACUCCUUUUGUUAGGUAUUCCCUUUUUUUAUCAUCCUUUGUAUUUUUGGAAGGAUUUCUCAUCCUUUGCUUGUGCUUAAAAUUCAUGGUUUUUCUUUUUUUGUAAGUUUUAAUAAUGAAAAAAAAAAUUAAUCAGAAUUCCAUUAUGUCAUCAUAAGACCAGUGAAGGUUUCUCAUACUAAGGUUCAAUGAAAAAAUAAGCCAUGUUAAAUCACUAAGCCCCUGAAGACAAAGGUUACAUGGAGUUUAUUAAAAGUACUAACUUGCAGAAACUUGUUGAGAUUUGUUGUCAAUUUGUAAGAUGAUUGACUUGCUGCUUAGGGAACCAUCCUUUUGUAAAUCAAUACAUAUUGGAGCCCGAGUAGCACCAUUUUCUCCAGUAGGCUGGAUGAAAAAAAAGGAAAGAAAUGUCAGGAUAAACAAAAAAACUUUAAUCAACUCCCAUGAGUAAAGAUGUGCAAAAUCACACAAAGGAAUGUAACUUACCAAAACAGGAUGUCCAAUCAAACUGUUCAAAACUGCAGAUUUACCAGCACCCUAAGUAAUUAGUGCAGAAACAGGGAAAAAACUAUCAGGAUCUUCAUAGAACCAAAAACUACUGUUGCAUAAUACAAGCAUACUUAAGAAACAAAAAACAGAAAAAUAAGAUCCAUUCAGCAAUUCAAUUAAUCAAUUUCAACACUCAUAAAACAAGUACCACAUGAUCAAGCCAUACUACCUUAAUUAGGCUCUCACACCUCCUAGUCAGCUGAUAAAAAUUCUUGGGGACCAUUAUCGUGAUUGAGGAUUCAGUAGUGAAACAAACCAUCAAGAGAGAAAAGACUUUAAGUCCACACAAAAUGGAGUAAAUCUCAUGAAGCUCAUUCACGGAAGUUCUAAAAUUCUUUCUACCUGAUGAAACAAUAACCUUUAAAUGGAAAGGUUUCAUGAUGCCUUUUCCUAAUCAUCAAAAAAUUCAGCAAUAAAACCUUCCAAAAUAGCAGAAAUGUGAAAGAGGGCAUACUAAGGCUUGCUUGAAUAAAUUUUUCCAAAUGGAAAAUGCUUUUAUCUUUUUCUAGUAAUCUCUAACCACUAAGUGAAAAAUGCCCCAGGCAAUCUAUGAGCAAAUGAUGAACUCUCUUAGUCACAAAACAGACAUGUUACAGAAAAAAGGCUUUAGGCAUCUCUUUCUUUGAAGCUUGCCACAAGCAACCAUCCAAGCUAUGGCUUUUUUUACUUACAAGGCCUUUCUCAGAUCCAAGUUAAUCGAGAGGAAAAAGGUAGUCAUCAUGAUAGGUGAAAAAUAAUUAAAAACGGGACUUCUACAUCUAAUCUUGUCAGGCCAACAAUAUGGCUAGUCUGAUGAAUAAUUCCUCUCCUCUAACCUUCCUACAUCUAUAGUAAAGCUGACUAGGAACAACAGUAUGUAGGACAAUAAGGCCAUAUGAUGAACAAUGAACGUAGAUUCCAAUAAAUGACUCCAGCUUCUAACCCAGUUUAGCUAAAGCAUAAAGCGCAAGUGUUAUAUGGUACUCUACUGAUUCAACUCAGAAGGCACUUGUGAUAUCCCAGACUAACACAGAGGGGAAUUCUGAUGACAAGGAUGGGAAGAAGGUAUCAAGAAGGCCCCUACAUCCUAUUGUUGGCUCACAAUGAAGUAGGAGUUCACUUCAUAUCUUCCUCCUCUCCUAAUCUUCAAACUAUUACUUUUUGGAAAUAAUAAGUGGGUUCUUUGGCAGGCCAAUGUUCUUUGGUGCACCUUCAGUUAGGGCUUUUGGUAUAUUUUUUUCAUUUCAAUAUGUGUGUGUGUGUGUGUGUGGAUUACCUUUCUCAGUUCAAGGAAUAAAUUGUAUCAAGAUCAUCACCACCUGGACAACUUCAUCAAUCAUGCCUUUACUUGUAGCAAUCUAGCUUCUAAAAAAAUGUAUCCGUUUACAACUCUAUCAUUUCUUGCAUUUCUGUCAAUCCAUUUCAACGCAUUCACAUUGGAUACAUUCAUAUCUUGAACAAUUUAGUGAUUACCUAACUAAAAUCUUGUGUCCAGACCCAUUGGUGGCCUCAUAUUGGUCUAAGAAGAUUCUUCCCCUUUUUUUGAUAAAAGAUUCUUCCCUUUAACUAGAUAGACAUUCAAUUACCAGUUACUCUCAGAUGCAGUUCUCCACUUCAUUCAUCCUACUCUUUAAUUGUAUGAGCAAAGUCCCAAAUUACCCACCCUGACAGGCAAUCUGUCCAAUGUAACAAAAAUGGGCACCUUUGGGCAUCUCUUUUCCAUUGAUUUCCAAAACAUCCUGAUUUCUACUUCUAGUUAUGAAAUUAAGCUCCAAUACUCCAUAUAAAUACAUGCAUUAAUUCUGCUUAACCAUAAGCCUUUAUGUUCUAAAGCAUCCAUCUCAAGGUUCAUCAACUAGAACUUUAUCAAAUUUUUUGGUAACGUUUUUUUGGCUAAUUCAAACAAGCAUGGAACCAUAUCCCCACUCUUAUCUCUUGCCUCUUGAUCCAACAUGAGGGGCUUCAAGUAAAAGCACCACAUGCAUAAAGAACAUAUACGAAUGGAAAUUUGAACAUCUACCUGACUAAAAUCUUGUGUCCAAACCCAUCAGUGGCCUCAUAGUGGUCUAAGAAGAUUCUUACCUUUCAUUCAUCCUACUCUCUAAUUGUACGAGCGAAGUCCCAAAUAACCCACCCUUCUAGACAAUCUGUCCAACGUAACAGGCCACCUUUGGGCAUCUCUUUUCCAUUGAUUUCCAAUACAUCCUGAUUUCUACUUCUAGUCAUGAAAUUAAGCUCCAAUACUCCAUAUAAAAUCAUGUGUUAGUCCUGCUUAACCAUAACCCUUUAUGUUCUAAAGCAUCCCUCUCAAGGUUCAUCAACUAGAACAUUAUCAAAUUUUUAGGUAACAUUUUUUUGGCUAAUUCAAACAAUCAUGGAACCCCCAUAUCCCCACUCUUACCCCUUGCCACUUGGUCCAACCAUGAGGAGCAUCAAAUAAAAUUACAAAAUGCUUAAAGAACAUAUAGGAAUGGAAAUUUGAGAAACAAGGAAAAAAAAAACACAAAAUUCGUAUCAUUUUACCCUAAAUCCUAGGGAGAACACAAUUUAUAGAUUCAAAUUCCAUUGUUCGUCCAAAAGUUACAGUGUCAAGAAGUUAACGGAGUAUAAUGCAAACAACGUUUUCUUUCUCACCUUUAACCGUUCUCACAUACCAAAAACGCAUUCUUCCCUUGUCCUUAACAUUAAGGAAAUGAAAAAAUAAAGUAGAUGAAAGUUUUGAAUCCUAGAUUUUAAUUUAUUUAGAACUCGACUUCUCAUAUAAUGAGAUGACUUUUUCUACUUUUCUCCACCUUAGUUUUUGUAUCCGAAACCAAUACAACAUAAAACAUAAGAUUCAAAAUUCCAUUCCCCCCACUUUUCAAACAACCAAAUAGAGCUAAAAACAUCUCUCUUUUUCAGAACUUAAUCCCAUUGAAUACCAACGCCAUCAACAACCAAAAAAUAGCCAGAUCCAAAGAUCCAUCACUCCGAAUACAUAAAUCAAAAUUCAACCACCAAAAUAAAAUCACACUAAAUCAAUAAUAACAUCCACAAAUACAAAUCCACAGUCCAGACAGAUACUACAAAAGGACAGAUUAACUUACGACAUUUCCAAGAGCCACAACGUUAAGAAAAGUCGAACCCCUGCGAGAAGAACUGGAACUCGAAUUCUCGUCCACAUCUUCAUCCGCCAGCAGCGCCGCGGCCUGGCGCAUAGACUCUGACAGCUGCACGAGCUCGUCGAUCGCCUCCAUGAGAUCAACCAAACAAUCAAACAAUCCAACAAUCAAUCAAACCCUGGGUGAAUUCGGAGCCGAGAUCGAGGAGAUCGAAGCAACAACUGGAACAGACAAAAUCAAAACCCUAGGUUGAAAAUUCAACGAAGACAAACAAAAAAAAAACAAUAGCAGAAAUCGGAGAUCUGCGUGGAUCGAGGCGCGAGAGAUUGGGAGACUUUGAGAUUCAGAGAAUCGAGAGGUUCCGGGAGAAAAAAAAAGUUAAACGUAAACGAAGAAGCCCCCUCUCUCUCCUCUCCUUCUCUCUCUUGAUUUGAAUGUUUGUUCCACUCUCUCGCGUUUUGAAUUCAAUGUAUUUUUGUCUAACUCGUUUUGAUUUUUUUCCUUUCUUUUUUUUUUUUUUUAAUUCUCUUUUUCAACUCUCUGUUCUUUAUUGGGUUCGGUUUCACUGAUUUUCCUUUGUCGUUAAGGAAAUGGUAUCCAAGUCUAUAGCCCCAAGCCCAAGCUCAUACCAAAAGAAUGUAUAGUGUUUAAACGUUCAUAUAUUUUGGCUUUUUCUUUAUUAUUUUAUUUUUCCUUUUUAUCUUUUUUCACUAACGUUCUAAAAUUUAUGAGCAGCUGUUUUUAGUCUUACAUAAUUUCUUUAAUAGUAAAAACGAACUAAUUUUGACGUUGUACAUGGAGAAAACGUGGAUGGGUUAAUGGAUUUUUCAUUUAUUAUUACCAUAUUUUAUUAAUUAACUUAAAAAGGUCAUGAAAAAUGAUAAUAUAUUAAAAUUGCAUUAACGAGUAUUUGGAAGUGUUUUUAGUCAUCUCUACAUGUUUAAUUUUUUAAAAACAUUAUUUAAAUUUUAUUAAACAUUUAAUUAUUUUUAAAAAGUGUUUUCUAAAAACAUUAUCCAAUUAUCUUUAAAUUACUCAUAAGAGACAAAUAAGUAAAUCUAAUUACGUAUUUGAGUACAGUUUUCUCAUGACUAUCUUGUUGACUUGUUAUCCAUCAUAUCACUCCAAUCACUAGUCGUGUUUUAAGCAUUUUCGUCUAUAUAAUUAAGAUAACAAUUUUGAGUAUGGUCAGUUGUCAUAAUAUGGGGAAUGAUUUGUAUAAGGUCGGAUAAUGAUUUCAUUGAUUGAUCACUAAUUAUUAAUUAUUCUAGUUUCAUAGAAACGAGUUGCAACUUUGCAAUUCAAAUGGAGAAGAUGUUUUUUUUUGUUUAAGAGGUUUAAAACUGUUUCGUUAUACAAAUGAUGUGUUUAAUAUAUUUUUAAAAGCUUCAUCCAUGUAUAAUUACUUAGAAGCGAUUAUUUCUCUUCUUUUUUUUUUUUGUGUUAUACGACAUACUAUAAAAAAUGCUAUAUGAUUAUUUUAAAAAUAAUAAUAGAAAAAACUCUUUUAUUAAAAAUACUUUAAAUAAAAACAUUAUGAAAUACGGUCUUAGAAAUUGGUAAUUACUUUAUAGAACUAGUUUUAGUAGGUGAAUUGAUAUAGGGAGAGGUGAUUGUGUAAAUGCCUCUUUCCAAUAAUUGAUGGAAAAAGAUACAAUGAAAGAGGGGAUGAAACCCAAGUGGAGGCCUAAUGGGAAAUAACAUAAAUAAUUAUUUCCUACUAAGAAAAUAAAUAAAAUAAAAUAAAAUAAAAUAAAAUAAUCUUAAUCAUAUAUGGUGAUGGUCCAUUGAUAAUAUCAAGUUCCUUCUUCAACUUGUUUUUGCCUAUAAUCAUUUUCCUUUGGUUCACUAACAAUUAUUUUUCUCUUCAUGCAUUACUCUUUUGUGAUGAUAUGGAAUAAUAUAACUUUCUACUAGACAUGUGAUAUAGAUUUAACAUAGUUGUAAUUUUCAAUGAAGUAUUUUUUUUUUUAACCUCUAUUUGCAAAAUGACAAACUUCUAAGAUUUUAAUAUCGAAUAUGUGAAGAAAAAAAAUUAAACUCUUUUAUUUUUUAGGUAGGGUGAAAUAGUAAAAAAUUUAGACAUUCAUACGUCGAUAAUCCAAAAACAUAACCCUAGUGAGAUAACGUGAAACCAAAUCCAUCGAAUUUUGUAUAUCGUAAAAAUCAUAAUAGUGAAAUUCAAAUCAUAUAACCUUUAUAAUGUGUAUGCUAAUUAAAUUAAUUCCCCAAAAAUAAAAGUAUAGAAAUUAAAGGAUAAUUGAAAUAUCAACUUCUAACGAUCAAAUUGAUUAGUACAUAUCAUGCACACAAAAACAUGAUGAAAGAUAAAAUCAGUGACUCUAAGAUGGCUAGAUUGAAUCUUCUAUAGGAUGGUGUUGUACAUUUUGACUACAUGUCAUUCCAUCUAAAUACUAUGCAAGAGCAAUUAGCCAAACUAAAAUAAAUAAAUAAAUAAAUUGCACAAAAAUAUAAGAUGGGUUUGAUAAGACAUUUGAAAACCAUUAUAAAAAAAUAGUUUAAAAAAAUGGUUCUCAAUUAUUCAUAAGAACAAUAUUUUAUUCAAUAAAUCAAAUAUAAAAAACAAUUUUAUCUCUUUAUUUUCUAAAAAUAUAGUUUAUUUAUAUACUAUAAAAAUUUUCAAAAUAUUCUUCUUAUUUUCGAUUGUUACUCACCGCAUUUUAUGAAAAAUAAUUGAAAACGUUUCAAAUUUAUUAUAAAAAGCAAUUUUUUAUUCCUUAAAAUAGAAAAUUAUUUUCAAAAAUAAUUUCUAUCUCAAUAAGUUUCUAAUAAAGAAAGCAAGUCUAUAAACAAAGAUAUUAUUAUUACAAAAGGAAAGUACCUUUAAAAAUCAAAGAAAGAAUUUUCAAAUAUAUAUAUAUGAGUAUGUAUGAGUUGGUAAGGUGCCAAGAAAUAAUGAUAGAAGGUUCUUUUGGUUCAAAGGUUCCUUGUGAUAUUCAAUAAGGUCGGUGUUUGAAAUAUCGAGGGACCACCUGAAAUAGUGUUGGUUGCUUGUCCCUGUCACAAAGUGACUUUGUAAAUUGGGUGUAGAUCUAAAAAGGGAAUUGGCCUCUAGCCGCCCGACCCAUUAGCUGUUUGAAUUUAAAUUUUGUAUCAUUGAGUUUGGCCCCAAAACAAUGGAGUUGAGCCAAAAUGGAUGAUGAAAAACAUGGUUGUUGAUGUCUUUUUUUUUUUUGAAAAUUUUAAAAUAUAUUUUUCUUCUUUAAAAUAGAAAAUAAUCUUAAUAUAUAUAUGUUUGGAAUUAAUUUUGAAAACAUUUUUUUAACUUAAAAAAAAAAGAAGAAAAUACAUUUUUCUAAUUUUGAAAAUAGUUUUUUUGAUAACGCAGUAAGACUACUUGAAUCAUGACUAAAACCUGAAUAAUUCUAAUUAAAUUUUUUAAUGAAAUAAAAUUUCUAAUUAAAUUCAAACUAACUAAUUAAAUGAGUGAAUAUAAUUUUAAAAAAUAUUAACACUAUAUAAUUUUUUUGAAAAUACAUAUAUGAAAUAAAAAAAAUGUUUAAUUUUUCUAAAUCAAUCAAUGCUAAUUACCUCCAAUGACUAUAAUUUAAAUUUUGUAAAUAAUAAUAUUAUAUUAUUAUAUGGGGAAAUAAUAUUAAUAUUAUGUGAUAAAAAAUAAGGCUUUGUCAUAAACUAUAGGAAUAACUUUAAUAAUUGGCAUAUCUGAUUCUAAAUCCAUCACAAACUUUAGUGACUAUAUUAUCACAUAAUAUUAGAAAUUAAAUUCAAAUGAUUUGUCUUAGAGGCCCUCAUAAAAUGCCCAAUGUUGCUUGUUUCUUAUUGAAAUUAAUGUCAACUUUGAUAUCAUUUUUAACUUUUUAUAAUGUGAAAAAAAGUUAUGGUACAACAUAUUCACAUUGCAACAAAAUAUUGUUUAACGUCAUCAUCACUUUGAAUGUUUCUCUACACGAAACAGACUUAGUAGUAAAAGCAUCAUCUUGAACUUUGGCCUCCCCAUCAGUUUUUAUGAGUCCCAAUAAUAUGUUUAUUAUUCAAAAUCUAUGAAGUUGUAUGGUUUUCUUUGCGAUAGUUGAAAAGGUGCUUGAAGUCCAUUCCAUUAACACAUUGCAACUCUUUGAUUGGUAUUUUCAACUCUCGAAUGUCUUCACCAUCUAAGGGUUUACCCAAAUUCUUUGAAAUCAUGUUAUCCAUGGAUCUAAUAUUACGAUGUUGAAAAAAUUUGCAAUUGUAUUUGUCUAAACAUGCAUUGUCGAAGCCAAAAUUGCAAAAUUUAUUACAUCUAGAACAUUUUCUCUUUUUAUUUUUGUUUUUUUUUUUGGAAUUUGUUUGUCACACUUCAUAUUUCUCCAUAAUAUUCAGAUAAAGACAAAGAUGAUACAUCUUGAAAGCUUCUAUGAUUCUUGUCAGUUAAGUUUUAGAUAUUAUAUGGAACGGUAAAAAAAAGUAAUUUCAUAUUUUUCAAUCCUUCAAUUUUUAGAUGAGUAGUAUAAUUAUCAACAAGUAAAAUAACUUUUUUACCAUCCAUUUGUCUGUCAAAUCAUUAAAUAUAUUCUUAAAAUAAUGCAUAGUCAUCCAAGCUUAUUUGUUAGUAUGAUACUCACACUUUGUAAAUUUAUAUUCUUGAAAUAUUAUGAUUUAUCAUACUUUCCGUGAAUCCAUAAACGGAUUUUCUAAACCAUCCUUGUUACAAUAAACAAUAAUUAAGUCUGUCCUUAUCUUACUUUUCUCAUCCACAUUAAAAAUAUAUUUAAUUGCAAAUUGAUUACUUUCUUCCUAAUAGAUUGCAUCUCGCUUCAUGCCCUCCAUAUCAACUAAUCUGUUUUCUCCAAAAUGGUGAUAUAACCAUCAUAGCAUUUACUUCUGGCAUUGAUUUUAGGUCCCAUGUAAUCACUUUUAUAAUGACUUUUUAUAAUUAAAGUAUUUAGUAAAAUAAAUAAAAAGUAAUUACAAAAAUAUCCAACUUUGAAGUGAGAUCAAAACUAAUUUUUAGAAAUGUAUUUUGAUAUAUUUUAUUUUUAUAUUGUCAAUUAUUAACGUAAAUAAAAAAUGUUAUAAAUAUUGUGAACACAAACUAAUUUAACCUAAGUUUUUGCCUAAGAGAGAAAGUGAAUUGGGCGUUGGUUGUAUUUUAAAAAAUUUGAUCAAUUUUAACAACUUAAGAAUAAGAUGAAUGCAAUGUAAUAAUUAAUAUUAACAAUAAAUAAGGAGAGAUGAGAAGGAAUAAACGAUAUUUAUAAUGGUUCGAUAAUUUAUUUACGUCCACUUCAUCCAACUUCGAGAGUUUUCACGUUCUUUAUGCUUGAAUUUUAAUGUUUCAAUGAACCUCUAUAUUACACUAUAGGAUAUCUUUCACUUCCCUUUUUGCUUUCUUGUUAAUGCAAGCGGUUAGAACUAAGAUAAUAAAGAGAGAAAGAAGUGAGAAAGAGGGAAAGAAAUUACUCAAAUUCAAUCUAGAAGAAAUCCUCUGUUUUGGUUUACGGAGCAAACCUCAAGAUUUAUAUUACAAUAGUUUCUUCUCACUAACUAACUUGCUUACACGUGUACAACACUAACAAUAUGUUAAUAGCAAUUUAACAUCCUCUUAACGGCUAACAAACUAACAGCUUAGUAAACUAACAGUUAACAACUUAUUAUUUUAUAAUCCUAACACAAGCUAAUACAAAGAAAAUUAAGUCAAGUCAAGGUAAUUUUUACAAGACUUAACACUUACGCAAAUGGAAUAUCAUAAUAGAACUUGGUUAGGAUCUGAAGGGUGUAAUCAAUGAUUUGCAAACUUGAAAUUAGAUGCACUCCUUUAUGAUUUUGAUACUCUCAUAAGGGACAAGAUUCAAUUUUGGAUCGUUGGAGAUUAAUAAAUAAGAGUUAAGAAAUUUAUAUAAAAACAAAAGUCAAUUAAUCAUUAGAAACAAUUUCCCUAAACUCCGAUCAAUCCUCUUGGUCUAGUUAGUCUUCAUGCAAUUAGGUGACCAUUGAGAAACAUAUCUGCUCAAUUGAUCCAUCGUCCCAUGGCAACCCAUUCGGCCACGUGCUGGGGCACCAUUGUUUGUAUCUUUGGUCCCUGCUCCAUUAAGCUCCGAUUCUCAAAAUACAACACAUUCUCCUUGAGGCUUAUUUGAAUAUCAAGGUUUCAAAACUAACAUUUUGAAGUUGUAAACCGAACUACUAAGAACAUCCCGUUUUCAAAACUUCAAAAAAUAGUUUUAACAACCACCGGUUUGAUGGAAGUAUUUUUUCUAAAGUGUUUUUAAAAGUAUCAUCCAUCCGAUGUUACAUCGGAAAAACAUUAUUAUACAUGGUUUUUCAACUCUAUUAUUAAUUUUUCAAUUUUUUAAAAAUAUUUUUUAAAUUUUAUCAAACAUGUAAAGUAUGUUUGACGUAAUUUUAAAAAGUACUUUUAACAUCUUUAAUAUUUAAAAGAUAAAAUUUUUUAAAGUAUUAGAAAAUUAGAAACAUUUUCUAAAAUCACUGUUAAACGUAUUUUUAAAAUUAAUUUGAUUGUGAUUUUAGGAAACACUUUUAACAUUUUUAAUACUUAAGAAUUUUUAGUUUUUAAAUAUUAUAAAAAUUGAAAUAUUUCCAAAAAUCAUUAUCAAAUACAUUCUAUUUUGUUUUUUUAAAAAACAAAUUUUAAUUUAAAUGCGCUUCCUAUAAUUAUUGUGAAAGACAAUCUAAAUUUAGAAUCAAAAUGAAUAAAUAUUGAACUACUUUUUGAAAUAAUUGAUUUUUUAAAUACCAUUAAAAAUGUUUUUUUUAAAAAGCUACCAUAAAAAUAAAUUCACCUAUCAUGAAAUUAAAAAUUGAUUAAUUUCAUCUAAGUUUAUUUUUAUUUUCAAAAUAAAUUUUAAAAAAUGGGUACCUUCUUUAUGGCUCUCUUUUUAGAAUUUGAUUAUCCAAACAAAAGUAAGCUAAAUUUAAAAUGAAAGUAAAAAUAAAAAAAUCAAUAUCUGUAAUCUUUUAUUCUUUUAAACAAACCAAUAAUAUAAUUGCUUCAUUUGUGGAUACUAAAUCAUGCUAUAGUCCGUAAUGAAAAAAUUUAUUUAUAUAUUCUCAAGGUACAACUAAAACAAGCACCAGGUUACAAGGUACAACACUAUAACGUCCAAUCCCAUCAGCACCCACCGCCACUGGAGAACCCGUAUAAAUUUCCAGAACCUUCAACUUCGUCGCAAGCCUUCAAUCGAUUCAGAGGGACAUAGAGUCCUCAAAACGAAACGUUUUGCGGAGAGCACACUAUGUUUAAGAAAUCGUUGGAGGCGAAGUCGCAGCAGCGGUUGUCCGGCGCAGACCGCAAAAAGCUGAAGCGAACAAUCAAAGAGCGAUUUCGUAACGCCUCCGAUUCUGAAAUCGAUUCGAUUCUUCCUCCUAAGGUAUACGAAAUUGCUUCUAUUUGGUUUUGUAUCUGGUUUAUUUGAUCAAUUCGAUGUGUUAGAGUGGUUAGUUGUCUGUUUGGCUGUUCAGAAAAUGCUGUGAAGUGAAAAUAUUUUAUUUUUGAUUUGGAAACUACCGUUUCUUUGAAUUUGAAACUGGAUUAUGCGUUUUGUGGUGUUUAAGUAUUGAAUAAUGACUGAAUUGGAUACUCGGGUUGUUGGUUGCUUACACCGUGGUUUGAAUGGAGGAAAGGAAAGGAAAUUUGGAGAGGAUUUGGAACCAAAUUGCUGACAUUGUGGUAUAUAACUGAAUGAUUGUUAGAAAGGAAUUCAAUUAAUGGAAGGGAAAUGAGAUCAAUUGGAUUGCUUAUCAUUUGAUGAAACUGAAAUGUGAAUGAUUCUUUAUGUUCGUCUUGAUUGGCACUAGAGGAGACUGAAAUGAAGAUGCUUUUUUUUUUUUUUUUUAAUACUUGUUUAAUCAUUAUUCUCUACCUUUGAGAAGCACUAUUGUUGAAUAAAUGUAGAAGAACUAAAGCAAUUUAUUUUCAAUAAUAAUUUAUACACUUUUAAAAAAUAUUUAUAUAAGUUAAAUAGUUGUUAUUAGUUAGUUAAGAGUAUCAACAUAGCUAUCAUAAAACAUGAAUACUAUUAUUUGCAAUCAACUAAUCAACUCUUAUAAAUAGCAGUAAUGCUUAAAAUAUCCUCAUUUUUUUACUCAAGUAUCAAAGCAAAUUGCUCGAGUUAAGACAUUUUAGAGUUGUUCAUUUUAACUCUUAUAAAUAGCAGCAAUGCCUAAAAUAUUCUCAUUUUUUACUCAAGUAUCAAAGCAAAUUGCUUAAGAGUUGAGACAUUUUAGAGUUGUUUGUUUUUUUUUACUUAUCACUUCUUCAAGACAAUUUUAUUUUAACAGAAAAAAUGAUUUUUUUUUAAUAAUUUGAUCAAAAAGUUACUUUUUCUCCCUUCUAUUUUCAACCUUUAACUUUGUUAUAAUACCCUCCAAUUUCUCACAUAAAAUAAAACUGGGUUCAUUUUUGAAAAUUUUGGAUAACUCUUGUUUUAAAAACUAAUUAAUCUGCCUUAAUUUCUUGCAAUUUGAAUAAAAAAUGAAUUUAGCAUAAAUUAGCAAAAUUGUCAUCCACAAAAAAACUGAAAAUGAAAAUAGCUUUUAUUUUUGUUUUAUUUUUUUUCUCUUGUUUCCUAAUAAAUUGGAUCUAAAAAUUCAAAUUAAUUUUAAAGGUCACAAAAUUCCAAAUCAAAACAGAAAUUCUACUACUUGUAGCAAUUAUUUUUGCUCAAAAUUCAUCCAAUUUUCAAUGAAAUUAUAUUCCAUAAAUCUAUGUAGACUUCUCAUUCAAAAAUGAAAAUAAACAACACUAGAAAUAAGAAAUUUCUGUUUAGAAAUGAAUUUACUACAAAUUUUCAAAGUUCAACUUCUUGCUGUACAAUAAGACCAAAAUAAAUUAACAUGUAAAAAUAAAUAUAUUUAACACUUCACAGUAUUUGGACACUAAUAAAAGUCAACAACUUAACAUUUAACAACAUUGACAUUAGUAAAAAUCAAAUGGUCUAAAUACUUAAUGUUUAGUUCUAUUUGGAUUUAAGUCAAAUUCAAAUAUAUUAUUCAGACAAUGAAACAAACACCACCUAAAUGAAGGAACAAACCCUAAUCCUAUUUAAUUUCUCAGUCCAAGGUAUCAAGUCAAACUGACUUUUGAAUUCAUGGGAAGUGAUACUUAGUGGCAACAAUGCAUUUUUCAUUGCAAACAAUGUUUAUGCAAAACUCGGAACACCAGCUAUGGAGCUUCAAAAUCUGUUAAAUGAAAAAAAAAAAAAAAAAUGAAGAAAAUCUAAUAGAUCAUAAUUCAGCUAAUUUGGCAUGAUAAAUCAAAAGAGAUAGAGAAGAUGAUGGCGGAGAGGGAGGAAAAACAUACCAACCUAGGUAAACAAAGAAUGGUGGUGGUAGUUUGGAAAAUUGGGAUUUUAUUUAAAUUUCAAAUUCUCUCAUAUCCAUCUUUUUCCGCAAAAAUUGAAAGCAUUUAGAACUUCUAGCUAAAUUAUUUUAUUUUAUUUUUCCCAAGCUAAUGUUGCUAGACCUCUCUACAUUUUGAGAUUUAUGAAACUUGGUACAAUUUUCCUCUUUCUCUCUCUCUCUCUCCCUCUCUCUAGCAUCAUUGUCAUCCUUUCUUUUGUUCCCUUUAAUAUCAUCAUCUAUUAUUUAAACUGCUCUUUUUAUUUUUUUAAGGGGAAUUAUAUUUGCAUCCACCCUAUUUACAUGUCCACUUAAAAAUAAUUAUCUUAUUAAUACAUUCACCUACAAUUUUAAAAUACCUAAAACACCUUUCCCAUUCUUCUCUCUCGCACCAAUAUUCUUCUUUCUUUUUUCUCUCAACUUAUUUUUUCUCAACCAUGAACCCUAAGAGAAAUCUAUUUUUUCUUCAAUACAUUUUGUUUGAAUCCAUAUAAUAUACCGCAUAAAUAUCUUUGAGCUUAUUUUUUUUAUGUAAUUUUUAACAAAAAGCUUGUUGUAAAAAUAGUUGAAAAACAAUUAGGAAGAAUUUUGCAAUAAUUUAGAAGUGAGAAAUUGUGAAAAGGUGCAAUAGAAAUGAAAAAAAAAAAAAACCUCAUUUUGUGGUGUUUGAACUUGGAAGGCCAGACACAGUGGAGAGGUCCAGACAAUGAGGAGAUGUCUGAUAUUGGAAGGCUAGACACAACAUAAAUAUUGGGAUGUAAAGGGCGAACAAAGUUCAAUUGUUUGGUAGAUAGAGUGUCCAGAUGUACAGUUCCAGAUGCUUAUAAAACUGUCAGGACAUACAGUUUCAAACAUUCUAAGUAUAUUUGGAAGUACUGUGCUAGACAUUUGUAAAACAUUUGACCUUGUAACAUUGAAUGCCAUCUGCGAUACCUGAUUCUUCCAACUCAAAAAAUGCGAAAAGAAAUGCAAAAAAUUAUUUAAAAGACAUACCUCUGCACUUGUACUAUCAUUGAAGAUGAUUAUAUGUUUUUCUUGAUAGCAUUUACAUGCUGACAAAGAAGAACCUCUUUCAAAGUUCUAGGAGGCACCUAAGAAAUGUAGAAUAAAGAAAAAAAUCAUGGACUACAACCUGAAGCAACUAAGCAGUAAAUUAACUUGAAUAUAGAUAAGUUCAAACUUUGAAUUAAGCAUAGGCACCAAGGAAAUGAAGUUUUUCCAUGGAAGAUCAAAACCAAGCAUGUGCUAUAUUCCACAUGAUUUUGAGAGUUUUGAAUUUUGGUUAGACAAACACAGCCUAGAUGGUUUUUCCUACCUUAGUUUGCAAUUUAGUCAUUAUUUGAUGUUCUAGUGUCACACAUCUUUAUGAUGCUUAAUGGGAAACAUUCUUUUAAUGUUUAUGGCCCUGAAUUGUUGUUGGCCAAAUGAUUGACUGCUUAUCAUUGAUGUGUCAUUUAUGUUUCAGGCUGAGAUAACAAUUGUGAAGUUACAAAAUCGAGUUCAUUUGUAUGGUGUGGAAGGUGGUUUUCCUAUGUUUUUUGACAUUGAUGGGCGAGGAACAGAAAUAUUCCCAACAGGUGGUUGACAAUUUAUUAAUUCUUGGUUAAAUUCUAUAUCUUCUUUUCUUGAUUCAUUCUUUUAGCUACAAAAUGUUGCUCUUUUAUUUUGUUAUAGAUUAUUGAUGCUACCAUUGAAAAGCUAACUUGAAAGCCACUUUCUUUCUGCAUUUUGCUAUGAUGCAUAUUCAUAGAAAACAAGUUGCCUAUACGAAGAUUAACUUGAUUCCAGAAUUCAUUCCUUUUAAAGUUGAAUUAGAACGAAAUGUCUUUCAUUCAUGAAUUAAACUCCACAAUCCUAGGAGGCAUUUAGCCCCAUCCUUUCUUUCUGAAAAAAAUGCCCUUGUCUAACAUUUCUUUUAAUCGGAUAAUUUUCUCUUUACAAGACCUUAUGCUUAAUAAGAGGGUCCCUUUCUUGUCCAUCCUCUUGCAAUGACUUCAACAUUCUCAAAACUACCAGACGUAGCACCCUUUCCUUACCCUCCUUAUGCAUAGAGGAAUGGCUGGAGAUUUUCUAAUGAGUGUACUUUUGCAUUAAUGAUAUUUCUAAACCUAUCAUGCCUACAGAAAGCCAAUUUACUCAUAAGGUUCCUCUGAUACUCCCAAUUUCUCAUUGGAUUUAAAUUUCCUAAAGAGAAAGUCUAUUUAGAAUUCCUUGACUAUUCACAAUUUUAAUCGGCAUUGUGAAAAGAGACAUGAUGCAUAUAUGCACAUCUUCAAACUGUAUCACUUUUUAAUAUGGCAAAAGACCAGAUUUGGACUCAUCCUAGAAACCAAUGGCUAUCUUAUUCUAUUGUUUCAAUUGGCCUUUUAAAAGAAACAAUGGAACAAAGUUAUAUGAGUAUUAUGUUUAUUAUAGUCAAUAAAAAAAUGAGGAUUGCAUUCAUUAUGGUUUGAUAAGAUUGAGGUUAUGGAUGAUGUAUUCAAAUCCAUUGUGGGUUAUGAGCUUUUCAAUAUUAUCCCUGUGGAUUGUUCUAUGGGGUGAGGGCUUGUUGUUUAGGUAUUCAAAGAAGGGUUAGUAAUACCUAAUGGACUCUUCCUUAAGAUGUAAGCCUUGAUCUCUGCUUCAAUUAGUGCAAUGCGUAAUGUGUUGUAUAGGUGUGUCAUUAUUAGAGAUUGGAAGGGCAAGCUGAUUUGAAGCUUUGUUAAGCUAACUAUUAUUUCCAUUGAAAGGUCUAAAAGAUGCUUCACCAAUGGUAAAAGGGACCUCUUGAUGGAAUGGGAUUCUUUGGUGGUGAUCUAGGGUGGGAGGAUCCCUGUAGCAAAAUUAGGGUACAAGUAGGAUUUUGGACUUAUCUAAGGAUCGUUCAUUUGGAAGCCUAGAUUAGCUAAUUUAGAGGUUGCUAUCUUAGCUAAGAUUGUUGGGGAUGUCCUUCUUCCUUGAGUCUUUUGGGUUGGGUUUAGCCUUCAUAGUUUAGUUUUUGCUUUUUGUCUUUUUCAUUCUAAAUCAAAAGAUUCUUAUUAAGCAUGAAACUUUCCUAAUCAACCACAUGAUAGCUUCGCAACCCAGAGAAACAACUGUUUUUUAAAGAAGCUUAAGAAAGGAGGGAGACCUAUGGUUUGAAGUAGGGCAAGGGGGAACUUUUUGAAUCAUAUUUAGAAACCUGCCUUUUGAAUUCAUCAUAAUUUAUUAGCUUAUUGAAGACACAAAAUUCCUCUGAGAUUCUGAUGGGGACAGGUGGCAACCAUCUUUGUGGAAGGAAGAUUUAGAAGUCUUGAGACCUAAUAGCUUAGUGCGCAUCUUGUAUGAACUUCUAGCAAAGAAAUGGGCUAAUAUCGCUAUUCCAACAAACUUCUUCAAGCUAAGGAGGUUUUUGGAGGAGCGAUAUCCAAUAUUUAGAGUGCUUUUCAAGGAAGACAAAUUUUGAAUGUUGUGCUCAUUGCAAGUGAAGCUUUAGAUUCAAGAUUGAAGAGCUCUAAACAAAGUGUCUUUGUAAACUAGAUAUGAAGAAGGCCUAUGACCAUGCCAAUUGGGAUUUUCUCUUAGCAAGAUGGAUUUUGGAUUGGUUGGAUUAUGUAGUAUAUUUCAAUGCUAGAUUCUUUGUAUUGGUGAAUAAAAGUAGUGCUAACUUUUUUUAGAGUUUGAGGGUUUGAUUAAAUUUUAGCCCAAGAAUUGCUUAUGAGUCUUGUCAAAGGAUCAUAGGUGUUCUUAUUUUUAAUGUCAUCAAUUUCUUAUUUUUGAAAAUUCUUUUAAUUUUGUUUUGGUUAUGUUGAUUUCCAAGCUUUAUUAUUACUCGAAGGAGUCUUAUGGUUUUAGGAUUGUAGCAUAUGAAGCUGGUCAAACAUAUGAAAAUUAAUGAAAGCGGAACCUAGGUGUGAAGCCUGAGGUUUUCAGGAGUGGUUCCUUGAGUCCCACUAGUGUCAUAGUAGUUAUUGAUCUAUCAUUUCUCUUUUACUUUUUUUGGUUUGCAUCAAUUUUGGUAUCAGAGCAGCCUGGAUGAUGAUUAAAUUAUUAGAGGAAGGUUAUCUGAUAGUCAAUGUGAUAAGAUACUGCUAAUUUGGGUGAUGGAGCAACUUGGUUACCUGGAAGAGUGGAGAGUAGACGGUUCACUAGUUCUUUUGUCAGGCGCAUUCUAGCAGUCUCAAAAUUGAGGAAGAAGAUUAGAGGUGAACAUUUAUAUUUUUUAGAUGUUAGUUUGGCGCAGAAACCAAUCAUGCAAACUUAUUAUUGAGUCAUUGGCACUGACGGUUGCAUAAACAUUGUCUCAACAUCCACAAUCUAGCACCUCUAGUUUCCUGUUGAACUAAACCACAACCAUACAAGGUAGCAUGGAUAACAACAUUUCUAUUCCUGUAAGCCAAUGCUACCUUGUUUCUCUUUUCUGUGGCCUCUUUAGCAAUUGUAUUUGGUGUGACAUUCUCGCUAUGAAAGUGCUCAAUAGCAUUCUCGAUCGUCCUUGACUUUAUGAUCUGGAUGUGCAUCAUUGUGGGAAAGAAAAUAUGUAUAAUUUCAUGUUAAAAAACAGAAAAGUUGUGCUGAAGCCAAUGACUGUUGCUAAAAUGAACCAUUGUUAAGUAGGAAAGUCGAUAUAGGUUAUGCAUGUCAUGAAGAAUUCACUUCACAUUCUUAUUAAGAAGUUUCAACUGGAAAACAAGGAAAAUGGGGUUACAAUGUGAACAAGGCCUGAAUAAUAUCCUGAAGAUGCUUAAGACAAAAUCUACAAAAUUCUUCAAGAAAAUAGGCUCUGAUUUUUAUGUACUUGGCUUGCUAGAAAAAAUGUGCAUUAGUAACAUCUUCAAUAUGUAGGCCUUUGCCCUAUACCAUGGCUUUGAAACUGCUAUAUCAAAUGAUGAUCAAAAUGCUCAUCUCCCACCAGCCCCUUGAUUGAAAGAGGAGAUUGAAGAUGUUCAUACCAAAUUGCUUCAACUAGAGGAGGGGGUUAUCAAAAGUAUCUUGUGAAAUAGUAGGGACGAUCACAUCCUGAUUAUACCCAGAUCAUAGAUAAUGAAGUUCAGCAAUUGAAUUGCACUCCUUAUGAGAAAUUCCAUGCUUUUGGGUUGAGUUUUCCUAAGCCAGGGAGAGUUGAUGAAGACAAGUGGCAACGACCACCUAUGAAAGUUUACCAAAGGCAUAGAAAGCUAAGACCCAAAUUUUGAUUUGGCAUACUUUGGAUGAUAAUGGGCUUAGUUGAGAUGUUAUGUAAUUUAAUGUGGAGUUCAACCCAUAGCUGUUCUGCAGAAAUCGUUUCUCGGUCCAAGAGUUUUUACAAGUCUAGUUAGAGGGUGAUAAGUGUUGUUCUUUUCAGUGUCAUUAAUGUCUUAAUUUUUCAAGAGUGUUUUGAUUUUGUCUAUCAGUUAACAAGCUUUAUUGUUACCGUGAUUUGUUCCAAAUAGUUGAGUCUUAGAGUUUUAGUGUAUGAAGUUGGUCAGACUUUAAAUUAAUGAAUGAAAAACAUGGAACAUUCUACUGCUUAAUGUUAUCUUGUUUGUGUGAUUUAAACUGAACCUAUGCGUGAAAGUGUAAGAAGAGUGAUUCUUAGAGUCCCACUAGUGUGAUACUAGUCAUCCAUCUAUUGUUUCUCCUUCACUUUCCCCAUUCUCCACCAGAUUAAAAAGGAAGCAUUCCUGAGGGUAACUUCCUUAUGACUUCAACCAUUAACCCCUUGUACUUUGUGUGGUUUUACCUUGCCAUUUUCUUCCUGGAACUUGUGAAGCUUGCCUAAUGUUUUGUUUUAUUUUAUGUGGAUAUAUUUGACUCUAGCUUCUCAAUAAUAGCUUGCGAGAAACUUGUAAGUUAACAAUAACAUCCUGCUGCUAGAUAAGUCACAUAUUGGGUGGAAGUUCCUUGAAAUUGGUGGGACAAUUUCUCUGGUUCUUAAAGACAAGGAUUAUAAUACAUAGAUAUUAGUGCAAUUUCAUAUGACCUAUCUGUGUUUGGGUUUUCUUUUAUUGGAAGCCUGUAUAUGUAUGAAAAAUGUUGUGGGAAGCUCUCUUUUCUUUGUCACUUUUACAUUUAAUAAAUAUUUUUUGCCCUCUAAAAAGUGUCAUUUGAAGGAUAGCUUGAAAAUAAACCUUGCCCACUUGGAUGCCUGUGCUUUAUUGUUAACUUAGAACCUUAAUUCAAUUAUGUCUUGAAAAUUGACAUAAUUAUCGGUCCUGAUUGUACUCCUUUUCCACUAUUGUAGUUUAUGCCCUCUGGAAGGUUCCUGAUCUUUUGCCUGCUUUCAUCCUGAAGGGGGGUGAGGUUUCUCGUUUUGUCAUUGGAGGUGCUGAUCUGAUGUUCCCUGGUAUUAGCAUUCCUGCUGAAGGGCUACCUUCAUUUGCAGAGGGGGAGCCUUGGGCAGUUAAAGUUCCAGGCAAUCUGGCUCCAAUUGCUGUAUGUUUAUUCAAUUUUUGACUGCUUUUACAUCUCAAUCUGUCUUGAGUGGUGAUCUAAUUGGAUAAGCUCACUAGUAGGUUACCGCUGAAUUUUGAAAUUUUUGCAGGUUGGGACCACAACUAUGAGUAGCACUGCAGCAUUAAAAGCUGGUCUGCGUGGAAAAGCUUUGAGAAUAACUCAUUACUAUCGAGAUUCACUCUGGCAAGUAUAGGGGAAACUGGAUUUGAUUGCAAUUAAUGAUUUAAAUUGUUCUAUGAUUGAUAUUCUGCUUGGGAAUUAUUCUUGCAGGGAAUUAGUUGAGGGCCAUUAUGUGCCAAAUGCAGGAUUUUUAGAAGAUGUUGUGUUUGAAGAUCCUUCUUUGUCAUCAGCUUGUCAGGCUUCUGAUUCAUGCGAAGGUGUUAAUGAGGCUUCAAGUGAUCCACAAAACGACAUUAGCAAUAAAAAAGAGGGUGAAUCUGUUGAUGUCUUGGAUCUAACUUCGGAAGCUAACCCAUCUUCAACAGCACAGCUUGAUGUUAGCAAUGAUCCUGCUGAACAAAUAACUGCCAAUGUGGAUGAUCUGAAGGUAACUGAUGAGGAGUCAAAUGUUGAGGUUCAUCACACUCUAUCCACUGAAGAUGUGGAUGCACUUUUAGACAAAUGUCUGUUGCAAGCCUUGCAUACAACGGUUAAAGAUAAAGACCUUCCAAUGCCUGGAAGCACAUUGUGGUAUGUUACAUAUGGCAACUCCUGUGCAUGAAUUCUCCUGGGGGUGGCACUGUGACCUUAUUAUGGAGAUGAAAUUGGAUAUUAUUGCUAAAAUCUCCUAGUGGAAUUAAACUUGGAUUGACCAUCAAGCUGUUUUGUGACUGGAUCACAGGUUUAACCAGUCCAACCAUGAGUUGGCUUGGUUGAUCCAGUUUGUAUUAAAAGGAAAUGGAUAAGAAAAGUUUGAACAUGUAAUAGAAGCAUGAAUUAGGUUGCAUUCUUAAUUUUCACAUUAAAGUUUCCAAGCUGGACUCACAUUUCAGACCUUCAAAUUUUCUUUUUGAAGUAAAACAUUAAUGAAAUGCUUUCAGUGUGAUCUGUACUAUUUUAGUGGCUGAUUGCCAGUUCAAAUCCCCAAGCUGUCUGAUAACAUGUUCUUAAAUACAUGAACUCUGUGUGUGUCCCUUUCAUUUACAAAUCAGAAACCAUAAAUCUUGAUUAAAUCUUACAGAGACUGUUUUCAUGGUGAAGCAAUUUUUUAUGAUGUCUUUUUGUUGAUUAUGAAUUGUUACAACCCAAACCACCAUAAAGAAAACUGGACAAAUAGUAGGUAUAAUAACAUUAAAAUAUGGAAACUUAGGGUUGGGAAAUCAUUGAAUCUUAGAAACUACUUUUUAAAAAAAGAAAAAUCUAUGAAUGUUUUACUUCAUUUGAGUACAUUUCAUUUACGUUUUUUAGAAAUAAUGUUAUUUGUUUGUGGUGCUGCUGCAGGGCAGGCCAUGUAUUACCUUGUAGGCCUUCAGGCAUCACACUUGAUAUAAAAAAGUCAUCCUACAAGAAAUUAUCAAAGUGGCUACAGGCUAAAUCCUCCACAACAUUGGUGUGUCUCUUUUCUCUUCUCUUAAAUUCGUUCAGAUAUAAAAUAUAUAACAAUAAAAAAAAACAUAUAAAGUGUGUAUGUUCUGUACCAAAGAUUGUGAAAUGGAAUCAUAUAAUGCUGUUUGGUUGGGAUUUUUUUUUUCUUUUCAUAUUUCAUUUCUGAUAAAGUGAGAUCUAUAGUCAAGCUGGUCAUUUUGAUUUUUGGCAUGGAAACCUUUUAUUCGUUUUUCGAAAAAGGAAAACUUUUCACACUCAUGAUAGAUAACAGUUGCCUCGCCUUUAUUUUUUUUUUUUUGAUAGGCAAAAGCACAAAGAUAUAUUAGAGAAAGGGAGCUUGAAAGGCAACCCAGAGCAUACAGGGAGUAUACAAGAGACACCUAAAACAAGCAACAAAAACACAAGCACUCACCGGCCCUCAACAAGAACCCAACCAAUCCACAAAGUUAAACAAAGAUAAAGGGCCUACAACUAUAGAGGAAUUAGCCCAGGAUAAGAGAUUACAAACAAAUGAGUUUUUCAAUCUUUGAGUCGACAAAGCCUCGUUAUCAAAGACUAUCCUAUUUCUUUCCUUCCAAAUUGUCCAAAAUAAACAGAGAGGAGCUGCCCGCCAAACCUUUCUAUGAUUCUUGUCCUUAAAAGAGACAUGCCAACUUAAUAGAGUGUCUCUCACCGAAAACGGCAACACCCAAUUGACCCCAAAAAGAGAAAGCAAAAGAUCCCACAAAAUCUUCGUCUUAGAACAAUGAACAAGGAUAUGAUUUAUCGUUUCCUCUUCAACGCAACACAAGCAACAUCUAUUGGCUAGAAUCCAGCCCCUCCUCUUAAGCUGAUCUUGAGUAAGGACCUUCUCCCAAGAAGUUUCCCAAGCAAAAAAACUCACCUUUGAAGGAACAUACGGACUCCAAAUAAUAUUACCCGGAAACGAGACUGCACAGCUAUGAUCAAGAGACUUGUAAAGAGAUUUUACAGUGAAAAUCUCAUUUUUCGUCCCUCUCCACAGCAUCCUAUCCUCCCCAUCAGCAUCCAACCUCUUCCCUUGAAUGGACGAUAGGAGUCUCUCCACCUCCUCCACCUCCCAAUCGUUGAAAGGUCUAAGGAAAAGUGGAGUCCACCCUCCCACUUCCCCCAUUGGAUCCCAAUAGUCCGCAACCCACGCAUCUUUAGAACCCGCUAAAUCAAACAAAGAGGGAAAAGCCUCACAAAGGGGGGUGUUCCCGCACCAAAUGUCUUUCCAAAACCUCACCCUUUUACCAUCCCCCACCGAGAAAGAUACAUUAUUGAGCAGUAGCAAACCUUCCUUGCUGAUAUCCUUCCAAAGCCCAACCCCAUGGCCCUCCCUAGCCCCACACGUGCUCCACCCUCCUCUUUCAACCCCAUACUUCGUACUAAUAAUAAGCUUCCAAUAUGAGUCUCUUUCAACCGCAUAACGCCAACUCCAUUUGCACAAGAGGGUUCUGGAUGAUUGUGAAUUUUCCUCUUAGUCUUGCAUCUGUCUAGCUGUGAGAGGAGAUAAACUGAAGUCAAGGAUGCUGCCCAAUAACUUGGGAUGUUUCUUCAAUUGAGAAUUUAGACAUGUUCAAGACUCUGCAUGUAUUUAUGCAAACUACUUUAGAAUAAAAAACCAACAUGAUAGAGAAUACUCUUUAACUGAGCUACCUUAGUUUGGUGGUUCUCUUGAUCAACCAGCAAACUAUUGACAGGGGCUUGCUGAAGUUUUUGCUUCCUCUGUUAUAGAUAUGGUUGUUUUUGUAGAUGGCUUAUAGCUUGGUGGUUUUUAUAUAUGGGUGGAGCACAUCAAGUUGGAGUUUUGGUUCACAAGGUUCUAGAAUUAAUUGACGUGUGAAAUCAUACUUGGCCAUUUUUUGAUAUGACAUGACCUAGUAGGUUAAAUUUAGUAGUUUUAGCUCCUAGCUGUCAGAAGGACAUUGUGGAGUAACAGUUCAGGUUAGGUGUGGUAUUUUGUUCAGGUUACAUCAGCUUGCAAGAAAGCCUUACUGAACUGAGUGAGGCUUGAAGUUAGAUAGAAUUGGGAUCUUCCAUUUCUUGACUAAAAGUUGUUUCAGUGGAUCCUUACCUAAACCUGAAGCCCACAAUUUAUCAUUAGUUUUGUUCAUCUCUGGCACAGAGUUGGAAUAUAUAGAAAUAAGACCAGAAUUAUCUGCACUUUAUUGAUUAUAGCCAAUGUGGUUUAAACAACUAAAAGUAGGUGGGCUAACAAACUGUUACCUGGCCAAACAAGUACUAAAUAGGCCAAAGAACAUUUGCCUUCCAACUCAGGAGAAACUAUUACCUUUUUUAUAGCACUAUCAAGCCGCUCAUUAGAGCACUUCCAAAUUUUAAUCAGAGGCAAUCUUCAAAGACUGCUAUAUUCUUAUUGAACAUUUCUUGAGAGUUUAAUUGAAAUAGAAGUGCUUAUUGAGGCAUCAAAUUUUAGGAUUAAGACUGUUAGAUCAUCUUGAAUGUUCACCUUUCUGAAAAGGUUGAAGUUCUGUUUGGUUCCUUGGUAAGAUUUAGAACUAUGAAUGGAUGAGCUUAUGAGAAAAUUGAAUGGAUGAUGAGAAUAGAAAGCUUUGACUUUGAUACUUUAAAAUUGUAUUAAAUUUUAAUGAGAGAUACUUUUGGUUCUCAGUUUGGUUACAUUUUAUGCAUGAAAGUAAAUGUGUGGUUCCAAAUCUUGUCACACUUUAAACGAGGGUUAGUACCACUAAAUUAAGAUUAGUAACUUAUCUUUAUUGAAUUUGCUAUUGAACUUAUUUUGGUUUUCUGUUGAUUCUACCACAUGGACAGAUUUCAGUAAAAGAGGAUAAACAUAAAAAAGAGGUGGUAUUAAAUUCUGUCAACCGCAAUCAUCCAGAGUACACAUCUUUCAGGCCUGAGAAACGGCAAGUGGAAAAAAGUGAUCAGACCAGUGACCAUGCUGCUAGUGAAAGUCGAUCACAUAAAACACUUGAAGUGGCUGAGAUAUACAAACCGAGUGUGCAUGUCAAUCCUAUUUUUGCUUCUGUGGGAGUCGAUACGGGGAAACUGUUCAGUGCCUCUGAAGCCACCGAUAUUGUCUUCAGAUAUAUUGAGAAAGAAAAUCUGGUCAAACCAACAGACAAAUCCAUGGUGGUAUUAGAUGCAAUAUUAUGCGAUGCUUUGUUCAAAGGAGCUAUUAAAAAGGGAUCAACUUACCCAACUGCAAUUCAUAAGAAGGAGUUAGGACAUACCUUCGUGAAUCGCAUGCAAGCUCAUCAUGUAGUGACAAGAGGAGGUGAGUCAGUUGUUCGCAAAGGUGCCCUUAAAAAUAUUCAGAUAAUGACAGAACGGAGGCAGGGUAACAAGAAGGUGACUAAAGUCUCAGGGUUUGAAUCAUUCUUGAUGGAUGCUGAAGCUUUGGCAUCAGAGUUGCAGAAGAAAUUUGCUUGCAGUACGACAGUGGCAGAACUGCCAGGUAUUUCCUAAAAUGUCUUGUUAUUAUUAUUAUUAUCAUUAUUGUAUUGUUGUUAUUAUUAUUUGCAUGAACGUUGUUUAGGAAAUAAUCCCUACUCUUAAGAUGGCCUUGUUUUUUAAAAUUAGGUUUAGAAAUGUUAUUUUGGUCCUCUUUGUUCCCAAUUACAAUAGAGCUUUUUAAGGAUUUGAACAUAUCAUUAUGGCAUGUAAUAUAGGAAUUCAAAUUUGUUGGUAAUUUCCUAUAUUUUAGUAAGAUUAAAUGUGCCCAUGUGUUGCACUUGACAUUGGUCAUGAUUUUGCUCAGCCAAAUUAGAGAAAAAUGGUUAGAAAUUAAAAAGAAUGUAUUCACCAAAUGGUAAAAAUCCCAUCUAUAAUUAUUUGCUAUAGUCAUCCUCAUUAGUCAUCCAUCUUUAGGCGCACACAUAAGUUUUUAUGAAUUUACACUGACACAUUUUUUUUUAAAAAAAAAAAAUUCCUGUAGUAUGUAUCUUAUGUCACUAGGGGAGCUGGAAAGUUGAUCAAUUCAUUACGUGGUCUUCUGAUAUACAUUUUUUCUUUUUUCUUUUUUCUUUUUUCUUUUUAAAAUUAUCCUGUAGUAUGCAUCUUGUAUUAAUUGAUGGCCUGGAGAUAUUUGUGGGGCUCAAUCUGACAUUUAGCUGCUAUCUUCUUGGAUUCAGCUGAUCUGCUACAUGUCCCCUCAAAUAUAUGUUCUAUGUUAAUUUGAGAUUGUUGUUUUCAUUUUGCCCCUUUCAGGUAAGAAAGGACAUGAAGUUCUGGUUCAAGGAGGUGUGAUUGAAGAUCUGGCAAAACAUCUAGUUGAACAAUAUGGAAUCCCAAAGAGAUGCAUUGAAGUGCUUGAUAAAACUAAGAAAUGAGGACUUGGACACGGUUUGUAGUCUCCUCCCAUCAAUCUUUCAUACAAACUUCUUGAAUACCAUGUGGUUCAACAUCUCACCAUUCAUUAUUUCAUGAAAUUAGGUAUAUGAAUUUUUGUUCUUAUUAUUUUUAUUUUUAUUUUUCUUCCUGAAGUUAAAUGAGAUACAUAAUUUGAUCUAUUUUAAGGACUCCAUGUUAUAGUGAUCAUACAAGGGGCCCUCAUGCCACCCAUUUACUGUGAUUUUCUAGUACUUCUUCAACUGCCAUAAUUUGAUAUCGAAUAUUAGGCUGGGAUAAUUUCACUCUGAUUUUAAUUGUCCUCUAGUCAUGUUGCCCAUUGCCGGAAUCUUCACUGAGCAGCACAGUAUCAUUUAGUCAUGAAAAAAUGGUGGCCUAAGUUCAUCACAAUGCUAUAGGCAUUCUAAAAGUAUUCUAGUAACAGAAAUAAUGUAGAAGCAUAUGGUCAAUAUGUCAAGUUCCUUACCCAAAGAGAGUUGAAAGCCCCUGGAUACUUGAGCUUCUGGGGGUUCUAGAACAUGUCUAUUAGAAAAUUACAUCGACUAUGAGGAAAAGAUUCUUGUCAUCAAGAGUGAGAUUAUGUGUGAUAGGGUUCCACCUCCCUUUACUUUGCUAAGUCAGAUCAUAUCUUGUGGGAUAUUUAACUUAUAUUUUUAACUCCUAAACUCCAUGAAAGUAUACUCAAAGAAUAUUUCAUUUGAAAAAAUGUUAGAUGCUUUCAUAUUUUUAUCAGAAAGGCAAGGAAGUUCAAUGCUCCUCACUCUUAAAAUGCACUGUCAGGUAAGAAAGUUCCCAGGGAGGUUUUAAUUGGAGUUGUGUCAAUGAUCAAAUCACAAUAUCCUGUCAAGUAUUCCAUCUGGAGUUGCAUGGAAAUGCUUGAUAUUAGCCCAUAAAAGAGAACUGCAGAGUCUGGUAUAUCUUUCUUCAAUUUGCUUUCUUCACAUUUUACCUUUUGGCUUUUACUCAUAAAAGAAAAAGAAAGACCUGGCUUGUCAUUAUACCAGUUUCCUUUGUAUCUUACUAUGGUUGAAUUGUGUUGCUAUUUUUUAUUUAAUUAAUGCAGUUGACUUUGAGACAUGCUAUUUUAGUAUUUUAGAAUUUAUAAUUUAUAAAACUGAUUCAAUGUGAAGAAUUUCAUCUUUGAAUUUGUAUAUUAGGGAUUUGCAUUUCUUCACUUAUUUGGAUUAUUAGGGUUUAUGUAUUAUAUAGAGGGUUCUAGGGUUUUGUACACUCAAUUUAAUCACAGUCUACUCGUCUGAAAAGAAGAGGAGAUGUGGUGUACCUUUGUGAUUGAAACAGGCAGAUGUUUUGUUAUUUUUUUCAUUCUAUAGUGAGCUUAUUCAUAAUUUUUGUUCUAAUAAAGAAGGCUAUAAGUUGAUAAAUUUUAAUAAGAAAAAUUACUAAAUAAUAUGAAGUAUUAGCAAGAAUAAUGAGAAACAAAUUUGAUCAUUUAAGCUUUUAUUUAGGUCUCACAAAGCUUGAGGGGCAAGAAAAAGUGGAAGAAAAUAAAACUAUUUUAAAAAUCUUUUUAUAAUUUAUUUAUGUUUUUUUUUUCCUUUUAUAUAAAGAAAGAACUAGGAAUUUGAAAAUGUAGAAGUUUUUAAUUAGUUUUUAUUACAUUUAUUUAGUAUAAGAAGAAAGGACCAUUGAAGGAAUGUGGCUAGUCAUAAGUUUUUAGGCCUAGGAAGGCUGUGAUUUGGUUCCUGAAAAGUAUUAAGAAAGGUUAGGACAAAUAAUAGCAAGGAAAAAGGUAGGAAAAAAAAACCUUAUUUUUUCUAAUUUUCCUUAUUCUUAUUUUUUUUCCUUUCAAACCUUGGGAGCUAAAUAUAGUCUAAAGGAUUAACCUAAAACUAGGGCCAGCCUAUCCCUAGAACUUGCUAUUAUGAAAAUUAUGUUCCAAAGCAAUAUCUUUAUAUACUUUUCUUUUUUAUCUUUCUCAAAUAAGAACUAUCAUGAGGUGGAAGCUAAAAAUUUAGAAAGCAAAAGCUUUCCGUCCUAGCCUCCUAGGAAUAGUGUCAAAGCCAUUUUUUUGUCCACUUGUCUUAUAUGCACAUAAGAGAGGACUGCUUUGUAUAUUAUGCGUGAAUAAAGAAAAUUUAAAUUAUUAAAUAUUUAUUUUUCAAUUCAUCUCGAGUAUUAUGCUUUUAAUCUUUAAAUAAUUAACCAUUUGAAUUAUUAUUUGUUGAGUGAACAGAAACUCUAAUACCAAUUUGUUAUGUUGUUAUGUGCUAGUAAAAUUUUUAAUAUAAACAAUUACUAUGCAUGAAGUUUAAUAUAAGAUCAUUCAUGAUGAAAGAGAAUAUUUCUAUUAUAUUAUAAUAAAUAUUACAUAAAAUAAAAUCAAAUACAAUUAAUUAAGUUUUCAAAAUAUUUUUUAUUUUUUUAUUUUUUUAUAUCCAUAUUUUAAAUCACAAGUCUUUUCAAUCCAUUGGACGUCUUCCAUCAUAUCUCUAUCCACAUAUAAGUUCAUUUACAUUUUAUAAUUUUUUUUUUAUCUAAAAUAUUUAUAAGAAAAUUCCUAACAACUUUCUUGAAAAUAUUCCAUAUAAUAUUCUUUACUAAAUAAAAAAAAUCAUUAUUAAUUUGAAAUUUGAUAUACUUUCCAACAUCAUCCCCCACCUCCCUGGAAGCCACAAGUUUGGAAGCCAUUUGUAUUUUUAAAAAAGACACUAAAAUUCAGUUUGGUUUCAAUUAAAGUUAAAAAAAUACUAAAAGAAAAUAAUUUUUUUAUAUUUAAUUUUAUUAUUAAAAACAUGAAAGAAAAUUUAUAUAUAUUUAAAUUAUUUAUUUUUUUAUAUAAAAUAAAAAAAUAAAUGAAAUGAAUUUGAAAUAGAAAAUAAGAAUAAUUUGUUAAUUUGAAAAAUGAAAUAAUAUUUUCACAAAGAAAAUCGUUCUCCCUCACUGUUCACCUCAUAUAGCCGCGAUACAAGUCCAUCGUAUUCCAUCAAGAUAUUCCUAUCAACUUUUAGCGAAUACUAAUUUAUUAAGAAUUAAUCGGAUUGAAGCUAUAGCGUCAUCAUUUGCUGGAAUCGAAAUAUCUGCGAGAUUGGGUCACAAUUUGUAUGGAUUAAACAAAUCGUUGGAAGCAGGCCGGGCCCUAUUUCAAAUGAAAGAAAUAAAAAAAGAAUGGGUCAAUCCAGGAAGACUACAUUCGUGGGAGCAUCUUAUGAUAUGUACGUCUAUCCUACCACAACUCCCACAUUUUGAGAUCGAUCCCGUGGAGACGUUCUGAAAGAUCGGAUGGCUCGAAUACCAAUGUUUUCUGGGUUCUAUAUGGAAGUAUAAUAUUAUAACAAUCUAUAUACAAAGAAUUAAUACUGAUAAGGAAUGUGUGACACAUUCCAAUAAUUACAAAUAUAUCGCAAUCUACUCCAAACUUGCUUUUGUAUCAUCUUUCAUUUCUUCCCACUUCUCACUACCGCUAGGAAAUGCUAGAUACCGCCGGCGGCCAUGUCCGCGCAUCGCCAGAUCUUCCAUGGAGGGUCCGCCUUUCGCUUGCCAUUAUAACCACCAUCUCCGACGCCUGUCUCCGCCGUGACGGCACUGUCAACCGCCGUCUCUUGAGCUUCCUGGACCUCAAAAUCUCUCCCUCUGACAAACCAGUGAACGGCGUCACCACCUCCGACACCACAGUCGACCCCUCCCGGAACCUCUGGUUCCGCCUCUUCCUCCCUGGAGAAGCCGCCUCCGCCGGCGAGAAUCUUCCCGUCGUCGUCUACUUCCACGGCGGGGGGUUCGUGUUCCUCUCCGCCAACUCCAAGCCCAUUGACGACUUCUGCCGCCGCCUCGCUCGCGAACUCCCCGCCGCUAUCGUCUCCGUCGACAACCGCCUCGCGCCGGAGCAUCGAUGCCCCUCCCAGUACAACGACGGCUUCGACGUGCUCAAAUUCAUGGACGAGAAUCCUCCACUGCACUCUGAUCUAACCCGCUGCUUCAUCGCCGGUGACAGCGCAGGCGGCAACCUCGCCCACCACGUGGCUGCAAGAGCCAGCGAGUUCAAAUUCCGGAACUUGAAAAUCCUCGGGCUGAUACCGAUACAGCCGUAUUUCGGAGGAGAAGAGAGGACGGAAUCCGAAAUCCAACUCGCCGGAUCUCCGAUCGUGUCGGUGUGGCGUACAGACUGGUGUUGGAAGGCGUUUCUGCCGGAGGGUUCAGACCGAGACCAUCCGGCGGCGAAUGUGUUCGGGCCGAAAUCGGGCGACAUAUCAGGGGUGAAAUUCCCGAAAAGUUUGGUGUUUAUCGGAGGAUUUGAUCCGUUAAAAGAUUGGCAGAAGAGGUAUUGUGAAGGAAUGAAGAAAAAUGGAAAAAAAGUGAAGGUGAUUGAGUAUCCAAAUGCCAUUCAUUCCUUUUAUGGGAUUCCUCAAUUGCCUGAAUCACGCUUGUUUAUCAAGGAGGUUAGAAAUUUCAUUUAUUUUGAAUAAUUUUUAUUUUCAAUUCAUUUUCCCCUCAAAUUUAGUUUUGGGUUUUGUUAGAGUAAAAUAUAUUUUUUUAAGUAAGUUUUUCUUUAAUUUUUUUUUAAAAUUCAUAAUUAUAAUAUUAUUUUUAAAUUCUUAAAAACUCUAAAAUUUGAACUAAUUAUCAUUGGAUUGUAUUAUUUUUUUGGGGCUAAGGGUAGUUUUAAUAUUUUAUCAAAUUUUAAUCAGAUAUUUUUUCUAUUGGAGAAAAAAGAAGAAGAAUAAGGACAAGUAUGAGAAGUGUCUCUUAGUAAGAGUUUUCUUAUUUUUGACAAUCUUUGGUUUUUUAGAAUAAAAAAUGUUUUUUUGAUAAAUUUUUAAUUAUUUUUGUUUUUGAAAAAAUGUUAUAAAACAUGUGUUUUUUAAAAAUUUUGAAGGUAUUUUUAAGUAUUUUUUUCAUAAAGCAUUAUAAAGCACAAUUGAAACUAUAGAGAAUAUUUAAUUUUUUUUAUAUUAUUACACAUAAGUAUAUGUUAACAAAUUAUUUUUAAAAAAAUAUAGAACUUUAUUUUUGACAGCAAUGGAGAACAAUUCAUACUACAAGACAAAUAAUGAGAAUUUUCUCUAAAUAUCAAAGUCAUAUUCAACAUGAAAAAAAAUUAAUUUUAGGGAAAAGUGUGUUUCAUAUACCAAUAUGAAUAAAAUUAUAGGAAUAUAAGUUUAUAGAAUACAAUAUUUAAAUAAUUAUUUAAAAAUAAUUAAUAUUUUAUAUAUUUUUUUGUCAAAUAUAUCAUAUUUGAUUAUUUACGUGUUACAUUUGAAUGAGAUAGUAUUAUUUUUUACCAUCCUACGUUUUAUAUUUGAUCAUCCUAACUACUAUCUUUUGAUUAUUCUAGAUACCGUAUUUGGAAAAUAUUUUUAGAGAGUUUCUAUUUUAUAAUUAUAUGUAAACGAGGGUGUGAAAAUAUUUUUUUUAUAUUAUUUUAUUAUUUAAGAAGCUUCUAUUGAUAAUAAAAAAAUAUUUUGUAAAUAAUUUUCUUGAAAGACUCAUCCAUCUUUAUCUUAUCUUGAUACAAUACUAAAAAAGUCCUUUUAUGGGUUGUGUGUGUUUUUCCUUUCUUUUCCUCCAAACAACAUAUUAAAAAAAAUUGAAGUUAGUUUUAACAUUUGAUAUAACAAGCGCUAGGUGACAACAUUUCUUUAAUAAUUAUUUUUAAAAAUAGUUUUAUGUUUUCUAUAGAAGUAAAAUUACUUUUGAAAAUUAAAUUAUAAAAAGUAUUAUUCUUUAAAAAAAAAUAUUUGGUGGACUUAAUAUAAACAAUUCUAUAAAAUAAGUAAAAUAAACAUUCUUGCUUGAAAUUUUUUAAAAUAUUAAGAUUAUAUUUGGAUUCGGGAAAAUUUGAGGAAAAGUGUAAGAGAAAUAAAAUACAAAGGAAAACUAGAAGGAAAUAAAAAAUAAAAAAUAUAUUAAAAGUCAAUAAAUUAUUUUUAUUUAUUAUUUUAAAUUUAUUUUACUUAUUUUAAGUUAUUGAUAUAAAAAUUAAAUAAUUUAAAAAUAUAAAAUUUUUUAACUAGUUUUAAUUAAAUUAGAUUUUCUUUGAUAUUUUUGAUAGGACAAUUAAAUAUGAAAAAAUCAUUUUUUUUUACAGUUUUUUUUUCUUUGUAUUUUCCGGGAACCAAACAUAAGUUAUGUGUUUUCUUCUCAUGAUUUACAUGUUGUAAAUAAAUAAUUUAAAAUUUUUUAAAUAUAAACAUAAACAAAUUUUCAUCCAGCUUAGAAAUUCCAUUGUCGAUUUUUCUGAUAUAUAUACACUUGUUUCUCACAGAGUGCUGCUAUUCUCUCAACAUAAAAACAAACAAAAUGUCACCCACAAAAUCCCACAUCCCCUUCGUUCCAAUCAAACCCAAAAAGCAAAAAGGGACAAGAGAAAAAAAAAAAAAAAAAACAGUCUUCUUCCCAGAAAUCUGCAGCCCAUUUUAGUUUCCCAGAUUUUUUAAAAGCAGUUUGCAAUCAAGGAAUUCUUCAUUAAUGACCCAAGGAUAUCAGAGUGCUGGGUGUAACUUGAUGGGCUCCGGGCUACAACAUACAUUUGCGCCCACAAAAAUCCACUUUGAUUAGAGUUAUGGUGCAGAUAUUUUCUCACAGGCCCAAGAGAUGAAGGGGAAAUGGAGUCUGGGAGUGUUUUUGAAAGCAUCAAAACAUACCCAUAGUUUUCUGUAAGUUCACUAGUCCAAUCUCCUAGCCCUAAUCAAGAUGGAGUUGGUCUGACUGUUUUUUGAAAACACUUUCUAAUCUAAAAAAUGUUUUUGAAAAAAAAAGAAAAAGAGUUUUCGUCAAAAUUUUAAAAACAUCUUUAAAAAUUUUAAAAAUAGCUUAUAAUAUUAAAAAGCCAUUUAUAUUAUUUUUUUAGAGAAAUAUUUGAUAUAUAAUGCUCCGAAAAAUAUUUUUUUUAAAAAUAUUCUAUUAAAAAUACUUUAAAUAAUUAUAUUACUAAACACACUCUUAAUUCCAUGCAAACAUGAAUUAAUAGGUUUAAAAUCAAAUUGCUAACUUAGAAAUAUAAUUCAAUUUGCUUCAUUCAAUUAUGUUGUGAUUCGGUUUAGAUGAACUUCUGAGAAGUAAAAAACUUUUCUUUUUUAAAUUAUAUACGAGCUUUUAUAAUUAUUUGACUAAUUUUAUUUAAAGAAAAUGGUUUAAUAAUAUAAAAGUUGGAAAAAUAUUUGUUGUUGUAAAAAUUCUAUUUUGACUUAUAUGAAAAAUUAUUUCAUAUUCCUCCUUUCCAUGUUUUUCUCCAAACAAAUAUCAAAUAUAAUUUAGUAUCGAUCCAAAAUGAAUUCAUCAUAGUAAAGAAAAUUAUAUGGAAUCAAAUAUGAAAAUAUAAAACUUGAAAAGAUCCUAAAUAAAGGAAAUUCUAAUAUUGAAAGACUUGGGUAAGAGAAAAUUAUGUUGGUCCAUACAUUAAAAUCCUAUGAAUCUUAGAAAAGUGAAUUGGUUAAUAAAAUCAAAGAAAUUAUUUGAAUUUUUUUUUUUUAAAUGAGUUUUUUAUUCUCAUCAUUAACAUGAUGUUAUAAAUCAAAAUGCCAACUUAGAAACAUAAUCCAUUCUUCUUCAUUCAAUGAUAUUUGGAUCCAUUUAUGGGGAAGUCAAAAGUUUUUUUCUUUAAGUUCCAUAAAAUGUCUAUUUGAAUAAUUUUAUUUAAGGAGAUUAUAACUAAAAAAAAAAAACUCUAUAUUUAUUUAUAAAAAAAUUCUUUUAUAUUUAAUAAAACAUUUAUUAUACUAAUACUUUCUUUUAAAAAUUUUGGUUUUGGCCUCACGUACAACUAUUGGCCAAAAUUAGAAAAAGGAAAGUUAUUCCAAAUGUGGUAAAAUCAUUUAUUUAUAAAUUACUUCCAUCUAACCUCCUAAAUCAUGCAACCAUUUUCCCAAAGGAUCAUAGUGCAAUAUGACCAAUAAAAUUCCAGUUGCAUUUACUUAUAUAUAUAUAUCUAUAUAUAUAUAUAUAUAUAUAUAUAUAUAGAAAAAGAUAUAUUUGAUAACAUUGAUAAUGAAGCUAUUACGCAACCCUUUUGAAAUAUGACAAAGGACAAUUGUAAAAUGUAUUCAAUUGAAAUGUUAUGGCUUAAUAUAAUUUUAUUGUACUUAUAAUUUAUAAAUAUUAUUUUUAUUUACUAUUAAAGGUUGCCUCCUUAAGUAAAAUGCUAGCUCCCUUAAAGAUGAAAAUAUAGAAAUUUUAGAUAGUUAAGAAAUUAUUAUACGUUAAUGUAAAGCACAUGAAUUUUAUAAAAUGAUAAACCAAAGAUAUAGAAAAUAAAGUAAAUACUAUUAUUGUCCACAAAAACUCUAAAUAGUGUCUAUUGAUUGAAUCAUCUAAAUCUUAUUGUCUACAAAAAGAAUAAAAAAAUUACAUAAUCAAAAGAAGUUUUUUGAGAGAAGUUCAAAGAAAUUUUCUUUUGAUAUUUCAUGUCCUUCAAAAUGUAAGGAAGACACCCUUUUAUACUUUUCCUCGGAGAUGCGAAAACCAUAUGUAUAUAUAAUACUAUUUUAAUUUUAGGAAAAUAUUAAGAUAUAGAAUUUAUAAUCAUACGAGGUUUUAACGUGAUUCGAUCAAUCAUACCUAUGUAAUGAGAGAAAAUAAUUUUAUUAUAUAAUAAAUAAUAUUAUAGAUGACAAAACCAAAUACAACUAUUAGAUUUCUGAAAUAUUUCAUAUUUUCCUACUUUUUGUAUUUAUACCAUAUCACGCUCUUCUCGCUCCACCAUAAUAGACUAUUUUCAUCUUAUAACUUUUUCUCUCAUGACUUAAAAUAUUUAUAGAGAGAUUCUUAACAAUUUUUCUUAUUUUAUAAGAGAAUCUAAUAUUAUAAUAAUAUAUCAAUUUAGAAAAUAUUCUAUAUAAUAUUCUUUACAAUUUUUUUUUUUACUAAUUUAGAAUUUAAGACACUUUUAAACCUAAAUAAAAAAUUUAACAUUAUGAAUUCUAUUCUUCAUGGCACGAUUUCUCAUUUGAAAGACAAAUCCAAUGUGAAAAGAUGUGUUUAUGAUUUUAUUCCAACUCUCCAAUAAUAAUAAUCACGUCUAUUACUCUUACUAUUAAAUUAAACCGGAAGUUAUAUGCAAUGUUAAGAAAAAUAUUUUUGUAAAGAAAUAUAAAUUUUUUUUCUUUUGUCUUGGUAAUAAUAAUUACCCUUUUAAAAUUAUAAUUUUGAUUUUAAUUUUAAGUUGUAAUUGUGGCAAGAUUGAUGUGAUAUGAAAAAAAUUAUUUCUUUUUGACACAAUGGAAAAAUUAUCACUAAAUUAUAUUCCUUUUUUUAAAUAAAAAAAUAUUAUAUUUAUUCAUUGGUGCCUCUGCUUCCACCGUUCAAAAGGAUAGAAUUAAAAUAUUUAUAAUUUAUUCCACCACGUGAAUUCGUUAUCAUAUUUUAAAAAUUAAUUAAAAUAAUGCAAUUUGACAAAAUGAAUCAUAAUUUAUGCCAUUAUAUUUAGACUUUGGAGGUGCAGAAGGGUUCAUCCUGUCUCCACGAACCAGAGAAAUGUCCGGUACAGCCGGCGGCAAAGUCCGUAAAUGGCCGGAUCUUCCAUGGAAGGUCCGACUCUUCGUCACAGCCUUUGGGUUCCUCACAGAUGCUUCUUUCCGACGUAAUGGCAAAGUCAACCGCUGUCUUAUUAACCUCAUUGAUUGCAAAGUCCCCCCCUCCGACAGGCCAGUUAACGGCGUCACCACCUCCGACACCACAGUCGACCCCUCCCGGAACCUCUGGUACCGCUACUUCGUUCCAAGCGCAGCCGAGGCUGGCAGGAUGCUUCCCGUUGUCGUCUACUUCCACGGUGGCGGAUUCGUGAUGCUCUCCCCGAGCUCCCAGCUCUUCGACGACCUCUGCCGCCUCCUCGCCAGAGAACUCCCCGCCGUUAUUGUCUCAGUCAACUACCGCCUCGCCCCAGAGCACCGCUGCCCAGCUUCGUACGAAGACGGCGUCGACGUCCUCAGAUUCAUCGACGAAAAACCCCCCGCCAACGCCGAUCUAACCCGCUGCUUCAUCGUAGGAGACAGCGCCGGCGGCAACAUCGCUCACCACGUGACUGCCAGAGCCGGGGAGCACAACUUACGAAACUUGCAAAUUGCGGGAGUCAUCCCGAUACAGCCAUAUUUCGGCGGAGAAGAGAGAACAGAAUCCGAAAUUCAGCUCGAGGGAGCUCCGCUAGUGUCCAUGAAGCGCACGGACUGGUGCUGGAAGGCGUUUCUGCCGGAGGGGUCGGAUCGAGACCAUCCGGCGGCGAAUGUAUUCGGGCCGAACUCGAGCGAUAUAUCGGGGUUAAGGUUUCCGAAAAGUUUGGUGUUCAUGGGAGGCUUGGAUCCAUUGAGAGACUGGCAGAAGAGGUAUUGUGGAGGACUGAAAAGCAACGGAAAAGAAGUGAGGGAGGCUGAUUAUCCAAACGCCAUGCACUCCUUUUAUGCCUUCCCUGAACUGCCUGAAUCAACUCUAUUUCUGAGGGAGCUUCAAGAUUUCAUUUAUCCUCAAUAAUUUUUCUUUUGAUUUUGCAUACCUGUACAUUAUUUUUUGGGUGUGCUUCUUGGAUUAAUUUCACUAGUGUGUUUUGUUCAAUAAAUCGAGCGAAUAAAUUAAGGAGGUUGUUCGAUAUUUUAUAUCAUUAUUAUUAUUAUUACAAAAAUAGGAAUUUUCUAUUAUUUAAAAAUUUAUAAUUUGUCAUCGCCUUGUAAGAAAUUGUAAGGAAAUAUAACAUCUUCUCUUCUAUGAGAUGAGUUGAAGUAGGAAAGUGAUGUGGACUUCAAAAUUGUUAUCAUCCAAUGAAAAAUGAUAUUCUAGAAAGCACACUGUUUAGUUGGAAAAUUUGAGAGAAAAUACAAUUGAAAAAAAAUAGAAAGGAAAAGUAAAAGGUAAAAAAAAAAUGAAAGAAAAUAAAAAAUCACCAAUAUCUUGAUCCACAUCCAUAACACAUACUUCCAUUGUUCCAAUAGAUUUCUAUCGGCCUCUAAAGGUAUGUUGGUCCUUUCAACAACCCAACAUUCAAUCUUAUGAAUUCUUUCUUGAUAUAUUGUGAAUAGUAAGGUAAGUUAGUUGAUUCUCUCGGUGCCCAAUCCUAAAUAGGUUAAGAGAAGGUUUAUAUAGAUAUAUAGGUUUAAGAGAUCAGUAUCUAGAAAAUGAAUUUUGCUAUAUUAUGAGACAUCUAGAUAAUUGGGCAAACACAAUUAACCAUUGCUCAAGCGUCUUGAGCGCUUGAGCGUUGGAUAAGCACUUGAGCGAUUCCAAUGUUUGAGCAUUGGUUUCAUUGCUUGAGCAUCUUCUGCUUUUUCCAAAACAUUAAUUCAACAAUUUUUAGUUCAUAGAAAAAAAUAUCAAUUCACUUUAAGCCUUUAGUUACCUAAUUUGCUACUAAAUAAACAUUUUUAGACUUGUAACUUUCUAAUUGAGCCAACAACAAUUUUGGAUCUUGAGUGGAAAAUAAGUCACUUUCUAAAAAAUUUUCUACGUUAGGAUGAAUAAGAACAAAAUUACCAAUAAAAUAUAAAUAAGACUCAACGUCUUAACAUAAACAAUGUAAAAAAAGAAUAUAGAAUUUCAAAAUUAUUAUUUUUAGAUAAAAAUACCGUUUAUUAUUUUUUUAUCCACAAUUCACAUCAAAUAGAGGUUACUUUUAUAAUUUUUAAUAAGUGAAAAUUAUUAUUAUUAUUUUUUUUAAAGAUUUGGGAUCAUUUUAUCAUUUUUGACACAAAUAUUUAUGCUAUUUUUUUACUUCUAAAUUAUAUAAAUGAAAGUGCAUUUAAAUGACAUCUAAUUGUCACAUUACUUUUUGUAGGGAAUUAAACCGAAUUCCCAAACUGUGAGAAACAAAAAUAGAGAAAAAUACACGCCAAAGAAAAAUAAUCACAAGCACAAGAUAGUAUUUACGUGGUUCAAUAAUAUACCUACAUCUAUGGAGUUGUAGGGAUAUCACUAUUAUCAGGGAAGAAUACAGAGUACAACCACAACGGCUACAAUAUUUUCUCUCUAUAUAUAACACGACAACUACACCACACUAAAAAACCCUAAUUACAAAAGGUGGUUCCACAAUGGGCUAAACGGGCCCAAUAGGCCUCAGUAAAUCUCCCAUUAAAAAGCCAUGCAAUAUUAUUCGGGUCGGGUCGUCUAAUCGGAUCAAACAAAACUAGGCUCCACAAAGCCCAACAAAUCUCCCACUUGGAGACUAGUUCAAUCACCAACAUCAAACCGUUAUCCUCCAAGAAACAAUCCCUCAUCCCUGCAACUCAUCCUCCUGUCCUCAAGCUAGAAGACCAAUUGAAGCUGCGCACAGUUUCAACUUCUCAAUAGUGACACCCUUAGUCAACAUGUCCGCUGGGUUCUUAGAUUCACAAAUCUUCUCAAGUAUUCCCAGUUUAUCUUCAAUAAGAUAACAGAUAAAGUGGUAUUUUGUUUGUAUAUGUUUCGACUUUGAAUGAAAAGCCGAAUUUUUGGCAAGAAAAAUUGCACUCUGACUGUCACUAUGUAGAAUGCCCAUCUCCUGCUUCUUACCUAAUUCAUCUAAGAAACCAUGCAGCCAAAUCAUCUCAUUUCUAGCUUCAGUUGCUGUAACAUACUCAGCUUCUGUAGUAGAUAAAGUAACAAUCUUCUGUAGAUUUGAAGCCCAUGAUAUAGUUGUACCACCUAGAGUAAAAACAAACCUAGUAGUACUCUUUCUACUAUCAAUAUCACCAGCAAAAUUAGCAUUUACAUAAUCCUGCAGUUUCAAACUUGCACUUGUGAAGCAAAGACAUGUAUCUAAUGAACCCUUUAGAUAUCUUAGAAUCCACUUGACUGCUUCCUAAUGUUGCUUUCCAAGCCUACUCAUGAAUCUGCUCACAACUCCCACUGCAUGUGCAAUGUCUGGCCUUGUACACACGAUAGCAUACAUCAAGCUGCCAAUAGAAAUUAGAUUCCUCUUCAGGUCAGGAAUAUGUCAAACCUUCUCUAGUAACCAAACAGACCCAUUGGGUAACGAUAUCCGGAUGUCUGCCAGAACCACAACAUCCAAGGCUAAACCAUCAGCCAAAUACACCUUACCAAAAUCACCUGCAGCAUAAUUCUGUAUGAUUUCUCGGUGUGGAGUGGUAUGAAACGAAGCUCCUGAAUCCAAAACCCAAUCAUCAAGUGGAUUGUCUACUGCAAGAAGCAAUGCAUCUUGUACCUCUUCUGUUACAACAUUAGGAGAAUCAUCUUCAUUCUUCUUCUUAGGGCUUUUGCAUUGCCUUUUAAAGUGACCUGUUUUCCCACAGUUCCAGCAUUGUACUUGUUGGCCUGAUCUAGAUUUGCUUCUGUUCUGAUUAAAAUUUCUGGAUUUUGAUCUACCCUGGUUUGAAUUUCUAUCAUUACCUCUGCCUCUUGUCUCAAGGUUUAGGGCAGAGCUAGAUCCUGAGGUUUCGCCUGCAUCUCUUCGGCGAAUCUCCUCAGCCAUAAUUAAAUCUCCUAUAUCAUUGUACUUGAGCUUUUCCUUUCCUGUAGAAUUGCUUACUGUCAUCCUCAUUGCCUCCCAACUAUUUGGCAAAGAAGCCAAGACGAUUAGAGCACGAAUCUCAUCAUCAAAAUCAAUUUCUACAAACGACAAUUGAUUUGUGAUUGUAUUAAAUUCAUUCAGAUGUUGUGCUACUGAUGCAUUCUCUGCCAUCUUCAAAUUGAACAAUUUCUUCAUCAGAUGCACCUUAUUGUUUGCGGACUACUUUUCAUACAUACCGGACAAAGCCUUCAUCAGAUCUGCUGUGGUAUUCUCCUUUACAACAUUGUGUGCAACAGACCUAGACAGAAUUAACCUAAUAACUCCUAAAACCUGUCUGUCAAGAAGCGCCCAUUCCUCAACCUUCAUACUCUCAGGUUUUGUCCCCAAAAGAGGCAGAUGCAAUUUCCUCCCAUAGAGAUAAUCUUCAAUCUGCAUCCUCCAAUACGCAAAGUCUGUGCCAUUGAACUUUUCUAUUCCAGACACCUUUCCUGCUUCCUUUGCCAUUGCUCCCACUCAAACUUAACCCUAGGCUCUGAUACCAGUUGUAGGGAAUUAAACCGAAUUCCCAACCUGUGAGAAACAAAAAUAGAGAAAAACACACGCCAAAUAAAAACAAUCAUACGCACAAGACAGUAUUUACGUGGUUCGGCAAUAUGCCUACAUCCACAGAGUUGUAGGGAUAUCAGUAUUAUCAGGGAAUAAUACAGAGUACAACCACAACAUCUACAAUAUUUUCUUUCUAUAUAUAACACGACAACCACACCACACUAAAAAACCCUAAUUACAAAAGGUGGUUCCACAAUGGGCUAAACGGGCCCAACAUGUCUCAGUAAAUCUCCCAUUAAAAAAUCAUGCAAUAUUAUUUGGGUCGGGUCGUCAAAUCGGAUAAAACAAAACUAGGCUCCACAAAGCCCAACACUUUCUUAUAUGGCUUUAUGAUAAUUUAAAAGCCAAAUGAGUACAUAAUUAUAAAUCCAUAAUAAAUGUGAUGCCUUUGUUCUAACUUUUGCUUCCCUGCUCUCUCUUCUAUUUUAAGCUAUUAUGUGUUAUUGUUUCUAGGUUAAGAACAUGCUUAAAGCCAAUUUGAAAGUGGUUAACCAUAUUUUCUAAAUAGAUAUUUGAUAAAUGUUGAGUAAUUUCCUUUGAAAGUGUUUCUAAUUGGUAAGUGAUUCUUCAAUCAUUUUUUUUUUUUUUGUAAUAACACUUUACCAAAAAAACUUUUUCAAAACACUUUUAAAAUUUAUAUUCAAACACUAUGGACCUCUUUGGUAAAUUAGUUAUUAAAAUUUGUUGUUCGAAAUCAAAUCAAAUUAUUCUUAGCUAUUAAGUUAUAUUAAGAGUGAAUUUGACAAUAUUUCUAUUUAAAGUACUAUAAAUGAAAGAGUUUGUUUUUAGGAUAAUACUAUAAGUAAUUUUUUAAACAUACCAAACACUUUUCUAUGGAAUAAGUGAAUAAUAAUAAGGGACAAUUGCGUUUUAGAUCUAAUUGGGCCCAUAAAUUAAGUUUUGAUCCAUAUAAGUUCACCAUUUAAGUUCAAGACCUAGAGGAAGUGUGGAAAUUGAGAAGAAGGAUAUGAAUUUUUUAUUUUUAAAAAAAAUGACAUUUAUUGACUAUGAAAAAAAAAGUAGAAAAAUAUUAAUUCAAAUUUUAUUCAUUUUUUAAACCUCAAUAAAAUUUAAUUUAAUUUAGUGAUUUGGAAAAAAAUACACAAUUUUCCAAAAAAAUAAAAAUAAAUUAUUAUUAUUAUUAUUUAAAAAUCAAACAUCUUGAAAAAUAUAUAUUUUUAAAAUUGUGUGUGUAAAAAAUAACUAAAAUUAUGUCAAAAUUAUUUUUUUUAAAUGAUAUAUAUAUUUUUUAAAAUUAGUUUUCUAAAAAUAAUAAAUUUUCACAAUAAUUAAAAAAAAAAUUAAGAUAAAAAAGUUUGUCAAACAUUGUAAUAGAAAAUACUCAAAAUAGUUUUGAAGGGUAUAUUGAUCUGUUCACAUUUUAUAUCAUUCCUAUCAAUUAUGUAAUUUUUAUGGGUCGAAUCUUAAUUUUUAGGCCCAACUAGAUCCAAAACACAAUUAUUCUUAAUAAUAAUAAUAAUAAUUAAUAAUUUCAAACUAAUACUAAUAAUAAUAAUAAACAUAAUUUUGAACUUUUUGACCAAUUUCUACUUUUAAAAAGACAAAAGUGAUUGAUGAUCAUAUAUUUCAAACUUUUCUACCAAUUUCUACUUUUAAAAAGACAAAAGUGAUUGAUGAUUAUAUAUUUCAAACUUUUCUACGAAUUUCAACUUUCAAAUAGAUGAAAGUGAUUGAUGAUUGUAUAUUUCAAACUUUUCUACCAAUUUCAACUUGCAAAUAGAUGAAAGUGAUCGAAGAUUAUAUAUUUCAAACUUUUCUACCAAUUUCUACUUUCAAAUAGAUGAAAGUGAUUGAUCAUUAUCCUUUUAAAAUAUUUUUAUUAAAAGUAAUGAAUAACUUCAUUUUAUUUCAUAAUUUUAAUGAAAUGACUUUUCUUUAUUUUAUUUUUUUUGAAACAUUAAGUGGUUAAAAAUGAACUUAAAUAAUUAUUUUAAAAAGGCUUAAAAUUGUUAUGAAAUAUUGAUAUAAAUUAAUUUCUCCCUAACUCUCUAUAAAAGGAGAGACUUGCUAUAGAAAUAUUAUUAUAUUUUCUUUGAGUAUUCCAAUUCUUUCUCUUUCUGUUUCUUCUUCUAAUUCUUUUAUCUUACAACAUGUUUAAGUACAACACUUUAACCAAUGAUUUGAAAUAUUAUUUAUUUUUUGAAGAUUUUUGUCUCAAACUACAUGGGAAGAUAUAUCAGAAUAUAAAAUUUUUCCAUAAUUAUUAUAAUAGUCUAUUUUCUUAUUUUGUUGAAAGAUCACACAAAUUUUAAUUAUUCAUAAUUUGAAACUAUGUAAAACUAAAUACUAAAAGUCAUGUAGUAAGUAGCCAUAUAGAAAAGAUUGUGUUAUUAUGCACAAAAGGAAGCUAUUAUUAAUAUUAUUCAUGACAAAAAGUUAUUAGUUUUAUCAAAAUAUGUUGUUAUCAUGUAAAGUUAAAAGCUAUAUAAUUAUUAUUCAUAACUAAAAGUUAUGAAAAAAUGAAAAAUUAUAUAGAAAAUGUAUUAUUAUAAUUAAAAUUAUGCAUAGUCGGAAGCUAUAUAAUUGUUGUUAUUCAUUAUUAGAAGUUAUGAAAAAACAUAAUAAUGACGUUCUUCAUAUGGUUAAGAGAUAUGUCAAAGUUGUCAAUAUGCAUUUUAUAUAGCAAAAAACUAUAUUGGUAUAACGUGAAGCUACACAAGAAUUGUUAAUAGCCAAAGGCUAAAGUCAAUAUAUGUUUGAAUUGAAUGCAAUUUCAUUUCCUAAAGCAAAUGUAAUGUUUUUCCUAGAAAUGAAUGCAAAUAUCCUUCCUUAAUUGUUAAUAUUAAAGUGAAACUUGACAUAACAAAAUAAAUUACACCAUAUUACUAGAAGUGACACAAUAUUAAGAAUUAUUAUGGGUGUAAUAUGACAAAGUAUUGGUCAUAUAUCUGGCGUACACCUAAAUAAUUAGUUGACUUUUACAAGGUCUUAAUAAAAGUAAAAAGAAGAUGAAAAGGGAUUUCUUUAAAUGUUCUUGUGAAAACUUGAUUUUCUAGAAAAUGAUGAACAUAUUCUUAUUAAUUGAUGUUAUAUUAUAUAUUUCAAUUACAUUUAUUAUAUUAUUUUAAUUUGCGAAAUAUGUUUUAUGUUUUUCUCAUAUACUUUUCAUAGAUGAAAGAGUUAAAUACACUUUAUUCCUCCAAUCUUUUACUUGUCUUCUCACAUUGAAAAUCCAACACUAUGCCCCUAAAUUUGUUAAAGAGUAACAUUUCAAUAUUAUUUACAAACCCUUCAUAGAUUAUAAAAGGGAUUAAUCUCUUUGUCACUAUGAUUUGAACACUAGUUCGUAUUUAGGUAUAACCAAAUUUGAAUUAGUAGCCUUGGAGCGGAAUUUCCCAAACACUUAUGAAAUAUUUUAGCCACCAGUUUUGAUUUUUGACUUUUGAGAAAUAUUCUCAUGACUAUUCAUAAUUUUUGCAUAUAAGUGUGUAGUGUGGCAUCUUCAAACUUAGACAACAAGUGAUUUUCUUUGUAUUUCAACUUUAUUUCUUCACUUAACAAAUUAUUCAUUCACCUUUGAGAGCAAAGUACUACUUCUAAUACCUUGAAAGGUAAAAUAUUGGAUUUUGAAUACGAGGGAGCAAAGUGUAAAAUAUACAAAAAAUUAAAAGGAUACAAUGUAGUUAGUCCUAUAUGAAAUUACAUAUGCUAUUUCAAGAUAAACGAGAAAGAUUUAUGUCUUGUAGACUAUGCAAUCACUCACAUAAUUCUUUAAGGUGAAAUAUAUUUUUUUCAAUCUAAGAUUAGCAAAGGUUAAUGAUAGUACUAUAUCAUGUUAUUAAACGAGAUUAGAUUUUAUAUAAAAUAAUGUUUUAUAUUAUAACAAAUCCAAAAGAUUUUUUUUUAGUUUUAAAGAUAUCCAUAUAAAUGUGUAUCAUAUUGAAACUAUCAAUGAAUGUAUUAUAAAAUAUAUUUACAUUACUUCUAUUAUUUCUACCUAGAAGCAUGUGUAAAAGCUCUUGGCUUUUAUAUAACAAUAUCAAAUGAGACUAGAUUUUAUAUAAAUGAUGUUUUAUAUUAGAGAAAAUUCAAAAGAAACUUCUCAGAUUUAAAGAUAUCCAUAGAAAUGUGUAUCAUAUUGAAAUUAUGAAUAAUGUACUAUAGAAUAUAUUUACAUUACUCCUAUUAUUUCUACGUAAAAGCAUGUGGAAAAGCUUUUGACUUUAUCCUCUAACUUAUAUCAUACAACCAUAAAACCUAUUGAAUCAUAUGUUAUUGUGAACUAUAAGUUCACAAAGACAAACAUUUUUAUACUUUAUCAUGACUUGUUAAGCCAGCUGGGGUCCUCAAUGAUGCAUCAAAUAGUAGGGCAUUCACAUGUGUAUUUAUUAAAAAAUUAGAGGAUUUUUUUGCUUAAUGAAUAUUCAAUAUGCUACUUACUUACAUGGCAAAUUGAUAAUCAUAGUAUCUUUUACUAAAGUUGUAUUCAAGUUACCAAUCUUUUUAAAAAGAAUACAUGAGGACAUAUGUGAGCCUAUCCAUCCCACCAUUCAGACAAACUCAUUUAUUUAAUGGUCUUAAUUGGUGCCUUUACUAGGCGGUCGCACGUUUGUCUUAUUUUUACACAUAACGUUGCCAUUGUUAGGUUCGUUAAAUAAAUAAUUUGAUUGUGAGAACAAUUUCCAAAUUAUCGAAUUAAGUUAACAAUCUUGAUAAUGUUGGUGAAUUUACUUCUCAAAUACUUAUUAACUAUUGUAUGUUAGUUGGGAUUAAUAUUAAACAUCCUACUUGUACUCAUAUCUAAAAGAGUUACUUCUCAUAAUCCAAAUAAAUAAAUAAAUACACCAUUUUCCUUCCUUUUAAAUUAAAAAAACCAAUAUGGGAAAUAGGUUAUACUUUAUCUUCUCACUUAUUAUCAAAACUAGCAUUGGAUCUAAUUCUACCUAUUGCAAAUGCAAUUGUGAAGAAAAUAUUUUUUGUUAUGAAUAUUGUAAAGAAUCGACUGCUAAAUGGAAUAUGAGAUCAAUGAAUGAACUAUCAUUUACUUAUAUAUGUAGAGAAAGAUAUAUUUGAUAACAAUGAUAAUGAAACUAUUAUGCAAAACUUUUAAAAUAUAAAAACUCAUCAAAGACAGUUAUAAAAUAUAUUCAAUUAAAAUGUUAUUGAUCAAUAAAUUGUUUUGUACUUAUAAUUUAUAAAUAUUAUUAUUUUUUUACCAUUAAUGGUUGCCUCCUUAAGUAAAAUGGCUUUGCCACCCAUGAAAUAUAGAAUUUUUAGAUACUUAAGAAAUUAUUAUACGUUAAUAUAAAACACAUAAAUUUUAUAAAAUGAUAAACCAAAGAUACAGAAAAUAAAAUAAAUACGGGUGUCAACUAUCAAUAAUUAUUCCAACAUACAAUCUUAACUCUAAGUAGUGUCUAUUGAUUGAAUCAUCUAAAUCUUAUUGUUAAAAAAAAAGGGAAAAAAAAAAAUAAUCAAAAGAAGUUUUUUUUGAGAGAAGUUAAAAGAAAUUUUCUUUUGAUAUUUCAAGUAUAUAAUACUAUUUUUAAUUUAAUUAUUACUUUAAUUUAAUUUUAGUUUUUAAAUAACAUUAUUAAGUUAUUUUAUCAAAUACAUUCAAUAGAACUAAUAAUUUAAAUUAAAUGGCUAAAUCAUAUCAAUUUACCCAACUAAUCCAAUGCGUAUUUGACUAAUUAAAAAAUGUAACAUAUGAUAGAAGAUCAAGUAUCAAGAGGAUUUCUUUUAUUAUUAUAAAAAUGUCUUUAUUCUCACCUGCACUCAUUCCUAAGCCCCGCAAUUUUUUAAUUUUUUCUGGGAAUUAAAUCAGUUUGAUAAAAUAAUAUUAAAUUUCUCACAUGAUUAAGCUCGUCUAUUAUUUAAACAUAAACAAAAGUUAAAGUUAAUAAUAUAACAUUGUCACAUUGGAGGAAAAGAUCAUCAAUGUCAAUCAUUUUUUUUUUUUAAUUUCUAAAAAAACACCUUAGAGAAGUGUAGUGGGAGACUCCUUCCAUCCCUCCUUCCUUGUAUCUUUUCUGACCUCUGUGUUAGAAACGAGUUUGACUCGUGUUCAAAUCAAGUUUAAGAUAAUAAAAAAUUCAAACUUUUUUUGACUUUGCUUUUUGGGAAGACCCCAUUUUUUAAAGGUUGCUUUUCUUGUAAUUUUAUCGAUCAAAAUAACUUUUUAUUUUAAUUUUAUGUAACAAAACUUUUUAAACAUUAAAAGUGGCAUUUUAAAUAUUUUUUUAUUUUAAUAUCGGGAAAAUGUUAAGAUAUAGAAUCUAUAUCCUUCAAAACUUCAAAUUUGAGCUACUGCAUGAUAAAAUUUAUAUUAUUGGAUUAAGGUACAAAUAAAUCAAAUUAAGGUAUAAAAGUCGAGAUAAAUAUAAUUAAAAUAUAAACAAAUAAGACCUGAAUAUUAAAACCUGAAUAUGUUAUAUGACACCAUCUAAUUGGUAUCGGUGUCUUUUUGAUAUAGCAUGGAGAAAGUUUUGUUUAGUCCCGUAGCAUGUUUACCCUUAAGUUACAUUUAAUUAGUAGAAUAAAAAUAGGAUAUGAUAUGUAUAUUAUAAGAUAUCAUAUACCAUUAAAUAAAAAAUAUAUAUUUUAUGAUAUGAUUCUUAAUAAGAUAUGAUAUUUUUAAAUAUUAUAUUCAAUAGAAAUGAUAUCCUAAUAUAAUAAAUCCAAUGGAAUAUGAUAUGUUAUGUUUAUAUAUAUUUUAUAAAAUAAAUAAAAAAAUAAAAUAAAAUAUGUAUAUUACAUUCCACAAUUUAUCUUAGAUUUGAUUGAAUAUAAAAUAAAAUUAGUGGUAGGAUAACUUAUUUUAUCCUAUCAACCAAAUAUAUGAUAAAAUAUAUAUAUAUAUAUAUAUAUAUAUAUAUAUAUAUAUAUAUAUAUAUAUAUAUUUUUUUUAUUAUAUCUUAUGUUAUGUUCGAUCAAUGACCUUAAUUUCAUAUAAUUAAGAUCAAAUAUCAAUGAAUAUUACCAUCUCUCUCAUCUUAUUUCAUGAUAUAUUAUCAAAUAUGACUUUAAUUUCUAUAAAAAAAAUAUUUAAAUAUAAAAAAUAAUAUUUAAAAUUAUGAAUUUUAUUUUUCAUAACUUGAUUUCCUAUUAGGAAAAUUUGAGAUAAAUUCAACGUGAAAAGACGUCUAUUGCUCCUAUUACCAAAACUAGAAGUUAUGUGCAACCACAAACAUAUUUUUAGUGAAGAAUAGAAGAAAAUUUUCUUUUGAUUUGGCCAUAAUAAUUACCCUUUUAAAAUUAUAAAUUUGAUUUUAAUUUUAAGUUGUAAUUGUGGCAAAAAAAGAAAAUUCUUUCUCUAUGAGAAUAUUAGUAGAUAAAUAUUAAUAUGAAAAAAAUUCCAACAAAGACGAUACUCUUAAGAGUUAAAUUAUGAAGUUAAAAUGAAUAAGAUUAAUGGGAUAUGAAAAAAAAAAUUAUUUAUUUUCGACACAGUGGAAAAAUUAUCUCUAAAUUACAUUCCUUUUCUUCAUAAAAAAAAAAAAAAAAAAUCACAUUCAUUCAUUGGAGUCUGUGCCUCCACCGACCAUAAGGAUAGAAUUAAAAUAUUUAUAAUUUAUUCCACCACGUGCAGUCGUUAUAAUGUUUUAAAAAAUAAUUAAAUUUGACAAAAUAAAUAAUAAUUUAUGCCAUUAUAUUUAGACUGUGGAGGUGCAGAAGGGUUUCAUCCUGUCUCCAGAAAUGUGGCCGCCGAAUCUUCCAUGGAAGGUCCGACUCUUCGUCACAGCCUUCGGGUUCCUCACAGACGCUUCUUUCCGACGUAAUGGCUCCGUCAACCGCCGUUUCAUUAACCUCAUUGAUUUCAAAAUCUCCCCCUCCGACAAGCCAGUUAACGGCGUCACCACAUCCGACAUCACCGUCGACCCCUCCCGGAACCUCUGGUUCCGCUACUUCCUUCCUAGCGCCGCCGAGGCUGGCAAGAAGCUUCCCGUCACCGUCUACUUCCAUGGUGGCGGUUUCGUGAUGCUCUCCCCCAGCUCCCAGCUCUUCGACGACCUCUGCCGACGCCUCGCCAAAGAACUCCCCGCCGUCAUCGUCUCAGUCAACUACCGCCUCGCCCCGGAGCACCGCUGCCCAGCUUCGUACGAAGACGGGGUUGACGUCCUCAAAUUCCUCGAUGAAAACCCCCCGGCCAACGCCGAUCUAACCCGCUGCUACAUCGUUGGCGACAGCGCCGGAGGCAACAUCGCCCACCACGUGACCGCCAGAGCCGGGGAGCACAACUUCACGAACUUGAACAUCGCGGGAGUCAUCCCGAUACAGCCAUAUUUUGGAGGAGAAGAGAGAACAGAAUCCGAAAUUCAGCUCGCGGGAGCCCCGCUAGUGUCAGUGGAGCGCACGGACUGGUGCUGGAAGGCGUUUCUGCCGGAGGGGUCGGACCGAGACCAUCCGGCGGCGAAUGUAUUUGGGCCGAAAUCGAGCGAUGUAUCGGGGUUGAAGUUUCCGAAAAGUUUGGUGUUCAUGGGAGGGUUUGAUCCAUUAAGAGACUGGCAGGAGAGUUAUUGUGAAGGACUGAAAGGCAACGGAAAAGAAGUGAAGGUGGUUGAUUAUCCAAACGCCAUGCACUCCUUUUAUGCCUUCCCUGACCUGCCUGAAUCAACUCUAUUUAUGAGGGAGCUUCAAGAUUUCAUUUAUCCUCAAUAAUUUUUCUUUUGAUUUUGCUUCUUGGAUGAGUUUGUCUCUAGGAUCGUUUUUCCCUGUACAAUUUUUUUUUUGGGUGUGCUUCUUGGAUCAACUUCACUAUUGUGUUUUGUUCAAUAAAUUGAGUGAAUAAAUUAAGAAGGUUCUUCAAUAUAUAUAUAUUAUUAUUAUUAUUAUUAUUUCUAUUUCUAUUUCGAUAUUUAUUAUUAAAUAGGAUUUUUCUAUUAGAGUUAAAAUUAGUAUUUAAAAAUUUAUAAUUUGUCAUCACCUUGUAAUAAAUUGUAAGAAAAUAUAACAUCUUCACUUUAUGAGAGGAGUUGAUGAUGAUGAUUAUAAUAAUUUUAAUAAUUAUAAUAAUUUCAAAUUGAUUAUAUAUUUCAAAAUUUUCUACUAAUUUCUACUUUCAAAUAGAUGAAAGUGAUUGAUCAUUAUAUUUUUAUUAAAAGUAAUGAAUAAUAACUUCACUUUUUUCAUAAUUUUAAUGAAAUGACUUCUCUUGAUUUUUUUUUCUAAAAAACAUUAAGCGGUUAAAAAUGAUUUCAAAUAAUUAUUUUAAAAAGGCUUAAAAUUAUUAUGAAAUAUGAGAAUUUAUUAUAUGAUGAAUGAUCCUUUAUACUGAUGUAAACUAAUUUAUUCUUAACUGGGAGACUUGGUAAAGAAAUGUUAUUCUAUUUUCUUUGAGUAUUCAAAAAUUUUCCCUUUUGUUUCUUCUUUUAAUUCUUUUAUUUUACAUGUUAUAAGUAUGAUACUUUAACCAAUAGUUUGAAAUAUCAUUUUUUUUUUUAAGAUUUCUACCUCAAACUAUAUGGCAAGAUACAUUGCAAUAUAAAAUUUUCCAUAAUUAUUAUAAUAGUCUAUUGUCUUACUUUGUAGGAAGACCACACAAAUUUUAAUUAGUCAUAGUUCGAAGUUAUGUACAACUAAAUACUAAAAGCUAUAUAGGAAAAAAUUAUGUUAUUAUGCAUAAUAGGAAACUAUACAAUUAUUGGUAUUAAUCAUGACAAAAGUUAUGAAAAUGUUAUAAGUUUUGCCAAAAUAUUUUGUUGUUAUGUAAAGUUAAAAGUUAUAUAAUUAUUAUUAUUCAUAAGCAAAAGUUAUGAAAAAAUCAAAUAUUGUAUAGCAAUUUUUUUAUUGUAAACAAAAUUAUGCAUAGUCCGAAGCUAUAUAAUUAUACUAAUAUAUUUUGCAAAUUUAACUCAACCAAAUCUAGCAUUCUUUGUCAACUUGCUUGCAAGAUAUUGCUUUGCACCAACUCGAAGACAUUAGAAUGAAAUCAAAUAUGUACUAUGAUAUUUUUGUGGAACAAUUGAUGUGAUUUAAUUUUAUUUGAAAGAAGUAAAAUCUCAAUUGCUUCGAUAUGGGGAUGUUUUCCAUCUUUUAAAUUUUCACAAAACCGAAUCUCAAAUAGAAUAUGUAUUUACCUAUGUUAGAGUAGCAAUAUCAUGGAGAUCAAUUUAGCACAUAAUCGAUAUUAGCCAUAUCUUCAAAUCAUUUAAAGAUAUUUGUAAUUCAUGAAGUCGUGAAUGUGCAUGAUUAAGGUUAAUGAUCUAAUAUAUAUAUUUGGGAAUCAUGUAGACUAUCCUCCAUUAAAGAUAAUACAACCAAGUUAAUUACAUAAAAAGAAUGUUUCUUGUAUUGCACAAAUUAAAGGAGGAUUUAUAAAAAAUGACAGAACUAAAUAUAUCUUUCACAAGUUUUUUUAUAUGCAUAAGCUCUAAGAGCACAAUGAAAUUGAUAUUCAAUAGACUCGAUCGUGUGAUUAUUGAGCGGAUCUAUUCAUAAAAAUGUUAUCAUCUACUAUAUUAUUAUUAUUAUUAUUAUUAUUAUUAUUAUUAUUAUUAUUUUACCUUCAUCCAAGUUUUGUUUCACCAGCUUUUGCUAGUAGGAUUUUUAAUGAGUCCUAAUAGUGAAAUCAUUUAAAGAAUAUUGUGAAUAUUCUACUUUUUUUUUUCUUUGUUAGAGUUUUUCCUAUUUGUUUCUCCUACUAAGGUUUAAUUGAGACAUGUUCUUAUUAUUGUCGAAGGGAAAGUAUUAUAAAAGAUGAGAAUUUGUUGUAUUAUAGAAACUUAUCAUGAUCCAUUGGCAAAAUUCAGAAUCACACUCACACAUAUUGUAAAGGUGGUUUUAAUUUUUAAAGGAUCAAUCAAAUGGGAUUCAAGCAAAAAAUAUUUUAAUGAAACACCUUUGAAAUAUUUGAUGAAGAUAUGGUCUAGAUGAACUAUAAAUUUGUCAUUUUAAAGCAAACUCAUAAAUAAAUCAUUAAAAAAAAGGUAGAUUAACUAUUCUACAUUUGCCUUCCAUCUAAAAUUUGAUAUUAAUAUUUAAAAGUAUAUAUAUAAGAAAAUUGCAUUCAAACCACACCUAAUUAAUUAGCCUUAUCUCACCUUAUGAUAGCUUAAAAUCAAUAAAUAAUUAUAAUUCCAUAAUAAAUCUCAUGUCUUUUUUCUAACUUCUUCUCCUGUUUUCUCAAUUUUAUUUUUAAGCUAUUAUGUAAUUUGAAAAAUAUGUAUAUUUCAUUUUUUUGUCUUUUUCUUUGUAAUCAUAUUAUUAUUUUGGACAUAUUAAUUUAAAUUCUCAUUUAAAUUAUUUUAUGAUUCAAUUUAAUAUCUAUUUUAAUGAUAAUCUAUAUAUACUUUAUAAAUCAUAUAAUUUAGGUGCAUUUAAAAAUUAAAGCACUAAAAUAAUUUUUUUUAAAUGUACUUUUAUUUUACCCUUAAAUUAAUUUUUAAAAAAAUCUCAUUUUUAUAAUAAUAAUAAUAAAAAUAAAAAAUAAAAACUGAACAACCUUGCUUAAUUUAUUUCACUCACAAUUUAUUGAACAAAACACAGUACUAAAAUUGAUCCAACAAGCAAACUCAAAAGAAAAAUCCAAGGAAAAUCAAAAGAAAAUUUAUUGAGAAUAAAUGAAAUCUUGAAGCUCCGUGAGAAAUAGAGUUGAUUCAGGCAAUUGAGGAAAGAUAUAAAAGGAGUGAAUGGCAUUUGGAUAAUCAACCACCUUCACUUCUUUUCCAUUUCCUUUCAGUCCUUCACAAUACCUCUUCUGCCAGUCUCUUAAUGGAUCAAAGCCUCCCAUGAACACCAAACUUUUCGGAAACUUCAACCCCGAUAUAUCGCUCGAUUUCGGCCCGAAUACGUUCGCCGCCGGAUGGUCUCGGUCAGACCCCUCCGGCAGAAACGCCUUCCAGCACCAGUCCGUGCGCUCCACGGACCAUAGCGGAGUUCCAGCGAGCUGAAUUUCGGAUUCUGUUCUCUCUUCUCCGCCGAAAAAUGGUUGUAUCAGUAUGGCUCCGGCGAUUUUCAGGUUUCGGAAGUCGUGCUCCCCGGCCCUUGCAGUUACGUGGUGGACCAGGUUGCCGCCGGCGCUGUCGCCUACGAUGAAGCAGCGUGUUAGAUCGGCGUUGGCUGGGGGGUUUUCGUCAAUGAAUUUGAGGAUUUCGACGCCGUCUUCGUACGGAGAGGGGAAUUUGUGCUCCGGAGCGAGACGGUAGUUGACGGAGACGACGGUGGCGGGGAGUUCUCCAGCGAGGCGGCGGCAGAGGUCAUCGUAGGACUUGGAGCUGGGGGAAAGGAACACGAGGCUGCCGCCGUGGAAAUAGACGAUGAUCGGAAGAUUUUCCCCGGAAGUGGUACCACGAGGAAGGAAGUAGCGAAACCACAGGUUCCGGGAGGGGUCGACUGUGGUGUCGGAGGUGGUAACGCCUUUAACUGGCUUGUCGGAGGUGGUAACGCCUUUAACUGGCUUGUCGGAGGGGGGCACUUUGAAGUCAAUAAGUGUCAUGAGACAGCGGUUGACGGUGCCAUUACGGCGAAUAGAUGCAUUAGAGAUGGCGUUCAAGGCGGCAAGGAUGAACCGGAUCCUCCAUGGAAGCUUCAGAGAGGUACGGAGUUCGCUGCCGGACG
rnacentral:lncRNA from 1 species